rnacentral:lncRNA from 1 species
GUAAACGAUUAGCUCAUUCCUAAUUCUAAUUCCAGUUUCUGUAAUCAUAUUGCAGGGACUGUAAAACUAUCCAUGUCAUGAAGAAUUUUUUAUGCUUGAGUGUGUACUAUCUUGUUAUUGAUUGAGGGAGCAAUUGGUGGGAGCAAAUGGAAAGAUCUACCUGGUAAAGCCUUUGUAGACAAAUCAUCCCUUCACAAAUAUUACAAUUCAGAUCCUUUGGAGUAGUUAGAAGUGAUGAAGCCUUCAAACACAGUGUAUUCAUAGCUACAGAGUGCCCUGUUUUCACAUAGGUACAAAUUAUUCCACAAUCCCACUUUCUCAAAUGUUCGUUUUUUUUCUUACAACAAUAAUUCACAUAUAUGAGUUUCAACUGAAGUUAACUUGAUUUAUAUUUCAUCUCUAUGAAUAAGCAAAAACCUGAAUUAACAAAUGUGGGAACAAUUAGCCAAUCUCAUUGGUUUGGUUGCUGAGGAUUGUCUUCUUUAGAGUUUUGACAUUAUGCUUGCUCCUGAAUUCUCCAUGGUGACACCAUCAAUAUCUAUUCCUUGACUUUGCUCCAUGUGAAAGCUUUCAACUCAUUGGAGCAACUACUAAAGGAUUGUACUUGUGGGUUCUUCAGCUCAAGUCCUUGCCAAAACAGGGGUUGCCCUCCUCCCUUUCUCGUCUUUAUAUUCCAGGAUGUCCUCUGCUGAAGAAGCUAUGCCAAAGGUAUAAAAGGAAAAAAUUGCCCAACAUUUCUCACAUCCCCUGCAUUGUGAUACUUGAUGAAAUUGAUUCCUCAAUUGAAGAGGUCAUCUGGACAUAAGGCCCUUGCAUCCAAGCUUUUGCCUUUCUCUGCAAUUAUUGAUUCAGUAAGUAUUUUAUGUUUUUAUUUACUUUUUGUGCAAUCCAUGCACACCAAGUUUGUGAAUCAUUCUCUUUUACCAAUCAAUUCCAUCUCACCAUAGACCUUCCAUGGCUGCUCCAGAAUUGAAACCAGUAUUUUAAACUCUAAUACAAAAACAAAGCAAAGUACUGCUGCUUGAAAAUUAGUUUUAUUUUUUAAUUAAAUAAAUAUUAAAUGUGUGUAGUAGUUUUAAAUUUCUUUCUUUUUUUUAAAAUAUCUUUAGUAGUUAUAUAGCAAAACAGAAAAAGAAAUUUUCAAGGAUUUUUGAAUAAUUUUUUUGUGAUUUUCUAUGAUUUAUUUUAUGUUUACAAAAGAGGCAUGUUUUAUUGAUAAAUUUUAAAAUAAAAGAUCAAAAUACCCUACCAAAAUACAUUUUUGAAAUUGUUUUCAAAUUAAAAUAUUAUAACUGUAUGAUAGAAACACCUACCAUGGCAUCAUAUUUCAUAUGGCUUUGAAAUUAUCUACAGGUAGAAAUUGGAUGAGUAGGACUUUUCUACCUGUGUUUGUGACUGUGACUGUGGAUGCUUAUUUCUAGGUUAUUUUCAACAUGUGACUGUGUUUGUGGAUGCUUAUUUCUAGGUUAUUGUGGUGCUUGAAUGGAGACUGGUGGUUGGAAGUUGAUGUCAAAUCACCAAGACAUGAAAAUAUAUGGAUGCUAUACUCAUUGUAUAGACUUUUCACUUCUCCUCUGUCUUGCAUGGCACUUGGGUAUGCUCUUUUGCAUAGGGAGAGCUUAUGCAUGGUAGAAAAGCUCUCUUCUUGUUAGUGGGUCCAUUAACUGACUUAUAACUAUGAGAAAUAAAAAUAUAAGAUAAAUAACGCAUCAUAUCUCAUAUCGUUCUGAAAUUACCUGCAGGUGAAAGUUAGGCAGAUUUUUGUUGCCUUCCUAAGUUUUGUUGUUGCUAUAAAACCAUGUGUAAGUAGCUUCUACUUUUGGUAACUUAACAUGAGACUAGCUUUAAUGGAUGGAUUGAAAAUUAUUCUGGGUUUCAACUUUAUUACUGCACUCAUAAAAAUCUAGAUAGUUUGUGAAUUGCAAGUUGAUGUUUGUCUUAAUAGCUUAAUUUUCAGAUAUUAAAAAAAAAUCCACUGUAUUUCCCAAAAAUAUCUUGACAGAGCUAGAAGUAGGAGAAGCUAGAGAGAUAGGGGAAGAACCAAAGUCCAGAAUUAUGGGCAUGAAGGAGGAGAUGAAGCCCUUGUUGGUUUCAUAUAAAAUAACAAUGGUAAUACUAGAAAUACAAAGUUUUAUUGGAAUUAUAAAAGAACUUAGGGAAAAAGAUACAUCUUUUAGAUUUGGAAAAGCAAUUCCCUACUCUCCAACUUUCAAACUUUUACUGGUUCACUUCAAAAUCAAGCAUACGAUUUUGUUCACAACCAAGUUAAUUGCAUUUCAAUAUUGUAGGCUUCUGGCUUAAAUACAAAUCUCUUGGCUGUCAAAUAAGCUUUGCUGCUUUAAUUGAUCUAUGUCUCUGGAGUUUCAUGCCGACUUUGUGUGGCAGGGGACCAAAACAUUCUUCCUGCCCUUUGAAGAAGCCCAAACAGAGUUACCCUGAUCAGGUAGGGAAAUUGGACUUUUGAAUUGGGUUGCCAACUCUGUUAUGCAACAUAAAAUCCUCUCCUUUUCAAAUCUGCUAUACCUUCUUAGGUUAUUAAGAUGCUUUUUGUGUGAUCCAUAUUUACAGGAUGUGAAUGAGUGAAGACUUUGGUCCUGAAAAGUGUUGCAAAUGUGGUGAAGAAUCACUAGCACUCUAAUUUGGUGGGAUAUAGAUUUCUAAGCGACCUUUGUAAACAAUUAGCUCCUUCCUAAUUCUAAUUAUUCUGUUUCUGUAAUCUUUUGUCAGGGACUAUAAAACCGUUCAUGUCAUGAAGAAUUUUCUAUGCCUGAGUGCAUACUAUCUUGUUAUUGAUAUAGGAGGUUCUCCACCAAAAGACUCCAAAUGGAAAGAUCUACCUGGUAAAGCCUUUGUAGAGAACUUGGUGGCGAUCAGAAAAGCUUCCAGUACUACUAUAGUUGUUCUGUUUUGUUGGGGUUUUGUCAGACCAUUGUAAGAGAACAAAAACUUUCUCCAAGCCCUUUCAGAAACUUAUACCAAACCUGAAAAGUCCCAAUGGCACAGUAAGGUAGGGAAAUGGGAUUGCACCUGUGACCUGUUUCAUACUCAUACUAGCUCUUACUAAAACCAUUUUCUUUUUCCUCUUCUACAUUCUUAGAUCUUUGAAUCCUUGAUACGUACAUGGAUGCGUAAGUGGAGAUCUGGAGGUCUCAAAGGUGAUGCAAACACGGUGCAGAAUCACUGGUGGAGAUGUGGUGGGAUCAGAACUUGCAAUGCUCCCCCUGAAUGUGAAGAGUAAGGAAUGGCAGCAACGCCCUCUCAUUGGUUCCCAAGUUCAUGUAUCAAAUCAAGUGGAUGAUCUCACCACCACCCCGUAAGACUUCAUGUUUCACCCAGAACUGUUGGCAUGUCCAGUUCUUCGGUCUCUAAACUGUAAGCAUAUGAAAGAUGUUUCCCAAUAUCUGUUGUGCUCAAAAGGCAUCUUUAGCAAGACCUACAAUUUUGCUGAAUAGAAAAUUAGCUUACUUGAUGUCAGGUCAAGUAAACAUUAUCUUAGUGAACUUAAUGAAUUUUUUUUUUUUUAGUUAUGAUUCUUCAAUUUCAAGGAAUCUGAAAGUCUUUCGGCUCUUCGAGAUGAGGCUACCACCCAUGCUUGAAACCCUUGAGAUCCAAGGCUGUCCCAUUCUUGAGUCCCUGCCAGAGGGAAUGAUGCAAAAUAAUACUACUCUCCAAAGCUUGUCUAUCAUGCAUUGUGAUUCUCUAAGGUCCCUCCCCGGUAUCAAUUCAUUGAAAACACUUUUAAUUGAAUGGUGUAAGAAAUUGGAGUUAUCUUUGGCUGAGGAUAUGACACACAACCACUGUGCUUCCCUUACAACUUUAUAUAUAGGAAAUAGUUGCGAUUCUCUCACUUCCUUUCCAUUAGCCUUCUUCACAAAGUUUGAGACACUUGAUAUUUGGGGUUGUACAAACCUGGAGUCCCUUUACAUUCCAGAUGGAUUCCACCAUGUGGAUCUCACAUCUCUCCAGAGCUUGUAUAUCUAUUAUUGUGCUAAUCUGGUAUCUUUUCCACAAGGAGGAUUACCCACUCCCAACCCCAAAUCACUUCUAAUCAGCUCGUCCAAGAAGUUCAGGUUACUGCCCCAAGGGAUGCACACCCUCCUUACAUCCCUUCAACAUUUGCAUAUAUCUAAUUGUCCAGAAAUUGAUUCGUUUCCCCAAGGGGGUUUACCCUCUAAUCUAUCUUCCCUUCACAUCUGGAAUUGCAACAAAACUUGUGGCCUGCCGGAUGGAGUGGGGCUUGCAAACACUUCCCUUUCAUAGAAGCUUGUGGAUUGGAGGACAUAAAGAAGAAAGAUUGGAGUCAUUUCCUGAGGAGCAAUUUCUGCCCUCCACUCUCACCUCUCUUACAAUUGGGGCUUUUCCAAAUCUUAAAUCCUUGGACAAUAAGGGGCUUCAGUAUCUCAUCUCUCUUGAAACUCUGUAUAUUUUGAAUUGUGAGAAGCUCAAGUCCUUCCCAAAACAUGGGCUGCCCUCCUCCCUUUCUCGUCUUAAUAUUAGUAAGCGUCUGCUGCUAAAGAAGAGGUGCCAAAGGGAUAAAGGGAAAGAAUGGCCCAAGAUUUGUCACAUCCCCUGCAUAGUGAUUGAAGAAGAGUUCAUUUUGUCAUGAGGGCCUUGCAGCAUCCAAGCUCUUGCUUUCUCUGCAAUUAUUGAUUCAGGUACCUACUUUCUGCUUUUAUUUAUUUUUUGUACAAUAGAUGCUCACAAGUUUGCAUUUCAUUCUCAUUUAUCAAUCAAUUCCAUCUCACUUACUGUAUGGCUUACAUUUCUGCUUUAGAAUUGAAACCAAUUUUUUAAACUCUAAUAGCAAACAAAGCAAAUUGCUUGAAUAUCAAUUUAAAUUUUUAAUUACGUUUUUAUUUUUAUAAAUAUUAAAGGUGUGUAGUAUUUUCGAAUUUGUUUCUUAUUUAAAAAAAAAAACAUUUUUAGCAAUUAUGUAACUAAAAGGAAAAAGUAUUUUUAAGUCUGUGCUAUGUGGUUGUCAUUAGACCUAGGUUCCUCUUCAUGUUAUGCAGCUUCAUCAAUGGCAUCACUCAAGACUUAGGAAGAGGUACUAUUUUGUUGGCCUUUGGAAUAAAAUAUGUCUUUUACUACCAUGAAGAUUCUGUUUUACUGGAGUACCUAUCAGUAUGCAUGCUGCAGUGGCAUUGCAACACCUUUCAGAAGUUAACAUGAAAUUAGCCAGGUUAUGAACUUUGGAAAUUAGGCAGCGUCUACCCUUGAUACACAAAAGCACUUUUCAGCUGAAUCUGUUUUUGAAGAUGAAAUUUAAUUCCAUGGUGCAAUUUAGGGCCUGUUUGUUUAGUGUUUUCAAGAACUGUUUUCUGUUCUUGAAAACAAAAAACACCAAAAACUCGUUUGGUUGACAGGGUCGUUUUUGUUUUUGUUGUUUCCCGUGUUCUCAAAAUGGCACUGUUUAGAGAACAACAAAAUGUUGUUUUCCUCGUUUUUUUUACUGUUUACAGAACAAAAUUAAACAAAAAAAAACAACUUAUUCUCCGUGUUUUUUUUUUCUUCCCGUUCUCAUCUCUUCUCCAGCACAAUCUCAGUCUUGAUUCAAGGUUUGUGAAAUUUAAAUCCAAUGGCACAAUAGCAAAGAGACCCCUAAAACGGAUCCAGAAAACACAGGGAGCAAAAGAACCAUUUUUUUGGUUUUCCUUGGGGUUUUUGCUUGGAUUUUCUCAGAAAUCAAACGAGGAUGAAAUUUCCCGGAAAUCGAAUGGGGGAUGGAUUUUCUUGGUAAUCAAACGGGGGUUGCAAAAAUAAUAAUAAUAAUAAUAAUAACAUGAUUAGAUUAGUACCUGCGAGGAUUGAGAGUGGCAGAGGAAAAUAGGGCCUUUUAGGGAUUCUCUUGGCUGGAGGGCAACUUCAGAAAAGGGCUUUUUGAUGCCCGAGAGAGAGAGAGAAGUGGGUGGCAUUUUGGAUUUAGUAGAGAUAAAAAAAAAAUUUUAAUAAAUCACGAGCACAAUUUUAUCUCAAUUUAAUAGAAUAUGUUAUACCUUUUUAAGAUUAAAUAAAAAAAUAUUAAUAAAAAUAAUUUUAUUAUGUUUGAUUUAUUUUAAAAAAAUAUUUUUAUUUUUAAAUUAAUAAAAUAAAUAAUUUUUUUAAUUUAAAUGAACUAUAUAUCUAAAAAUUAUUUAUAAAUUUAUAAUGUAAAAUUACUUGAAGAAAAUAUUUUAUUAAUUAGAAAAGAAAAAAAAAACAUCUUUCAAACGUGUUUUUUAUUUUAUUUGUUAAAAUUUUUUUUUUAUUAACUCAACCAAACAUGUUUUUUUGUUUUUGAGAACAAAAACUGUUUUUUAAAAUUCAGUUCCCAAACACAAUUUUUUUUAAAAAAACAUCAAAAACUGUUCUUAAAAACUGUUCUCAAAAACUGUUUUCCAGAACAGUUUUCAAAAACAGCAACCAAACAAGCCCUUAGUGUUUCAUUCUUUGUUUUUGUUUUUGUUUUUCAUAUAGUUUUCAACAUGUGACUGCACUUUGUGGAUGCUUGUUUCUUGGUUAUUUUGAUAUUAGAAUGGAGGUUGGUGUUGGAAAAGUUGAUGUGGAACCACCAAGACAGAAAACUAUAUGGAUGGUAUGGGCAUUGGGUGGACUACUCAUUUCUUCUGUGUCUUGCAUGGCACUCAAGUGUGCUUUCUUGUAUAGGAAGAACUUAGACAUGGUAGAGGACUUGUUAGGAGCAUAAAGGAAGUAAGAAGAAACCUUAAGAAUUAUAGCCAUGAAGGUUAAGAGACUUCUAUUACUCGAAUAACUUUGAGACAUAUCCUAGCAAUAAAAAUUAUACAAUAUUUUACAUGUCCAAACCACCUCUUUUGGGUUCUCUUGACCUUCAACAUUCAAGGGAAAAAACAUUUGAGACUUUAAUGCUUUAAAAGUUAAUGUUUUAGAAAUUUAUAUAAGCAUGUUGACAGAUGUAGUUUUUGAUGCAGGUCAUUGAAUGGGUUGUUAACAAAACCCUUAGAAAUAGAAAUUACAAGUUGAUCUGAACUUUCAAAACUAGUUAUUUUUUCACUUCAAAAUUGAAUAUAAGACUUUGUUAAUGGACAAAUUGCAUUUCAAUAUUGCAGGCUCGAUCUAGUGUAGUACCCACUUGUUGGCUACAAGAAUAGCUUUCAGUAUCACUAUAGCUGUUCUAUUUUGCUGGGGUUGUCUCGGACCAUGUGCUGUAAGAGAACAAUAACUUUCUCGAAGCCCUUUCAGAAGCUUAUAAUAAACCUGAAAAGUUCCCAUGGCACAGUAAGGUAAGGAAAUGGGAUUGCACCUGUGACCUAUUUCAUACUCACACUAGCUCCCGCUGAAAUAAAUUUUUUCCUUCUCUACAUAAUUAGACAUUCGAAUCCUUGAUGCCUACAUGGAUGAGUAAGUGGAGAUUUGGAGGUCUCAAAGGUGAAGCAAACACAGGCAGAAUCACUAAUGUGGUGGGAGCAGAACGUGCAAUGCUACAGCUAAUUAUGAAGAGUAAGAAAUGGCAGCAAAGUCCUCUCCUUGGUUACCAAGUUCAUAUAUCAAAUCAACUGGGUGAUCUCACCUCCACACUGGCAGACUUCUUGUUUCACCCAGAAGGUUUCUCUUACUAUUGGUAUCAGAACUGUGUACAUGUCCAGUUCUUCGGUCUCUUAACUGUAAGCAUACGAACAAUGUUUCUCAAUAUCUGUUGUGCUCAAAAGGCAUCUUAUGCAAGUCCUACAAUUUUGCCGCUUACAAAGUGAGUUUCUUCUUCAUGAGGAAUGAGAUAUUUGAAAGUUGUACUGCUUUUACUUGAAUUCAAUGGAAUAAAUAACAUUUUUUUCCCUUCCCCUGCAGCUAAUUGAGAUUGAUACUUUUAUGAAUGGAGAUAAAUAUGCCAAGCUACAGAACUUAAUUUUAAAAGGGGCUCCUGCAGGCUCAUUGCUGAUGUUUUUUCCAGAUAGUCUUGAUCAUGAUUGCAAGGUUCAACAGUUAAAUUCUAGCUUUCAAGGUAGAGGCAAAAUCGGCUUCCAUCUAUGCUGUUGAAAUAAAAAAUAGUGCAGCAAUUUGUUGAAGUGCUUAGAAACUAAAACCAAACAAUCUCUAGGUCAAGGAAUAAUAUGAAAAUAACGUUAAUUGUGCAUAUAUUAUAUAUAGGUAACUAUGUCUAAAUUGUAACAAUGGACUGCCUAAUACUUUGAUGGAUAAGAAAAUGGUAUUCCUGAAUGCGUUCAGAAAAUAUUGGGGGUCAUGAAACAGAAAGCAUUGUACACCUGAAAAAAGAAGGGUACAGUUCUUAUUCUAACUUGCUCAUUGAUUUGAUAUAUAAUUCCUUGGACGUGAUGGUGUAUUUGGUUUUCAGAAUGCAAAAUUUUAAUUUGUGUACAAGGCAGGUAACCUUGGAACUCAUUUCGAUUGAAAUGGACAUCUGAAUGAAUGAUGUUAUCCUCUUUCUAGUUUCAAUCACUACCCUUGUUUUCAGGUUCUUUAUCCAGUUCUCUUGUUUUCAGCACCUCACCUCUCUUGAAAUGCUGGGGAUAGAGCGGUGUAAUAAACUCAAGUCCUUGCCAAAACAAGGGCUACCAUCCUCUCUUUCUUGUCUUUAUAUUACUGAGGAAGCGGUGCCAAAGGUAUAAAAGGAAAGAAUGGCCCAGCAUUUCUCACAUCCCUGCAUUGCGUUCGAAGAUGAGUCAUCUGAUGAAGAGGUCAUCUUGUCAUGAGGCCCUCGCAUCCAAGUUCUUGCUUUUCUCUGCAAUUAUUGAUUCAGGUACUCCUGCUCUUAUUGUGCAAAUUAUUGAUUUGAAAAAAAAUAAUUAAAUGUUGGUUGGAUGUGGUUUUUGCUAUCAAAAUUUGAAUUAAAAAAGUAAACACUCCCUACCAAAAUUAUUAGCUCAGUGCAUAUACUAUAAAUUAUUCCUAGCUAACUUAAAUAAUAUUUCUUGAAAUUUAUUUGUUUCAUUCAUUUGCAUUUUUAUGCAUUUACUAACCAUUUCCCAUUUCCAAGCAAGGUCUAGUGUAAUAAACCUAGUGUGAUGAAUUUCUCAAUCUGCCCUCUUCCACAGGUGACCUACAAAAAGUAGGAAGUACUGCCUUGAAGGUUACAUCAGCUUGCUAAGUUGGUAUAGCAGCAUGAUGAACAUGAGAAAAAUUCAAUUCCUCAUUUAUUUUUUACAAUACCAUAUUCUAAAGAAAAUGUCCAAACCAUACAUAAAUUUUUGUCAUCCCAAAAGCUAAAAUUCAUAGCAACAUUGAAUCGAUUAAUUUUACCAAUAUUUAUUUAUUAACAAAAAUUUAAGUGAUAUUUUAAAACUUAAUUUCAUCAAUUUAACAUACCCAAAAAUAUUAAAUCCACUAAAUUUUGUUCCUACAAUUUUCUCAAUUUGACCAAUUCAUAUUCUAAUUCUGCCAAAGGCCCAUGGAACAAAUUCAAGACUUACCCUUGACCUAAUUUCAACCUUUAACAACCAAUGCUCACUUUUGACUAAAUUUUCUAACUUGUUUGACAAAAAUUUUAAUACUAUAAACUGACGUAGACCCCAAAUUUUAAGACCUUAUCAAUGGGUUUCAAAAUGGGUAGCCUUCUUUUUAAACUAUAAUUUAUUGGCUUAGGCUUUGUUUGGACUUGUCUUUGGUUAUUGGGUUCGAGAUAUAUAUUGCUUUGGUCUUGCUUUGGUUGUGGCCAUGGGCUUGUUUGUUGGGAUAUUGAAUUUUUCGACUUAGGCCUACUGGUGAGCUCUUAGCUUACUGGGCUUUUUAAGUCUUUGUCUUUGGGUUCGGCUUUCAUUUGAUUUAUUUGGACAUGGAAAAUUUAAUGGACUUUCAUUUGAUUUACUUGGACAUGAUUUACAUUCCAAAUGGACUUCACCACAUGGAUCUCACAUCUCUCCAGAGCUUGUGUAUUGAUCAUUGCCCUAAUCUGGUAUCUUUAAUAGCAAGGAGGAUUGCCCACUCCAAAUCUAAGAGAGCUUGUUAUAAUUGACUGCGAGAAACUCAAGUCACUACCCCAAGGGAUGCACACCUUCCUUACAUCCCUUCAUUAUUUGUAUAUAUCUAAUUGUCCAGAAAUUGAUUCAUUUCCAGAAGGAGGUUUGCCCACUAAUCUAUCUGAGCUUGACAUCAGGAAUUGCAACAAACUUGUGGCCUGUCGGAUGGAGUGGGGCUUGCAAAUGCUUCCCUUUCUUAGAAGCUUGUGGAUUGGAGGACUUGGAGUCAUUUCCCGAGGAGCAGUUUCUGCCCUCUACUCUCACCUCUCUUUCAAUUAGGGAUAUUCCAAAUCUGAAAUCCCUGGACAAUAAGGGCCUUAAGCACCUCACCUCUCUUGAAACUUUGAUGAUUAACAACUGUGAAAAGCUCAAGUCCUUGCCAAAACAGGGGCUGCCCUCCUCCCUUUCUCGUCUUUAUAUUUGAGGAUGUCCUCUACUAAAGAAGCGGUGCCAAAAGGAUAAAGGGAAAAAAUGGCCCAACAUUUCUCACAUCCCCUGCAUUGUGAUAGUUAAUGAAAAUGGUUUGUCAAAUGAAGAGGUCAUCUUGUCAUGAGGCCCUUGAAUCCAAGCUCUUGCCUUUCUCUGCAAUUAUUGAUUCAGUACGUACUUUCUGCUUUUAUUUAUGUUUUGUGCAAUCCACACACACCGAGUUUGUGUAUCGUUUAUUAAAUAGGAGCAAAAAGGAAGUAUGAAGAAAAGUUAAGAACUAUGACCAUAGAGGUUAGAUCAGCUUGCUAAGUUGAUACAACAACACAGAGCAACAUACUUCACCUAUUACUGAUCAAAUAACUGAGAGACACAUCCUAGCAAGAAAAAAUUGUAUAAUAUUUUACAUAUUGAAACCACCUUUGCUGGGUUUUCUAGACGUUCAACAUGCAGGGGAAAAAACAAUCAAGACGUUAAUGAUUAAAAAGUCUAAAUUUUAGAAAAUCAUAGAAGAUGUUCUCGAAUGUAGUUUUUGAUGCAGGUUAUCAAAUGGGCUGUCGACAAAACCCUUAGAAAUAGAAAUUAGAGGUUGAUCUGAACUUUCAAAUCUUAGUUAUUUUUUCACUACAAAAUUUAAUAUAAGAUUCGGUUAAUGGACAAAUUGCAUUUCAAUAUUGCAGGCUUAUAGUGUAAAUGCAAACUUGGUAGCUGUCAGAAAAGCUCUCAGUACUACCAUAGCUGUUUUAUUUUGCUGGGGUUUUAUGUCCGACCAUGUGCUGGAAGAGAACAAAAACUUUCUCCAAGCCCUUUCAGAAGCUUAUAAUAAACCUCAAAAGUCCUCAUGCCCAUUAAGGUAGGGAAAUGGGAUUGUACCUGUGACCUGUGACCUGUUUCAUACUCCUUACUAAUUUUCUCUUUUAUUUUUUCUUUUUUCUUUUCUAAUUUAUUAGAUCUUUGAAUCCUUGAUACGUGGAUGUGUACGAGGAGAUCUGGAGGUCUCAAAAGUGAAGCAAAAGUGGUGCAGAAUCAGUAAUCAUUGGAACUAGCAGUAUGCAGUGGGGAUCAGAACAACUUAUUCAGUUCUUUCUCGCUUGAAUCAACUUGCUAUGCUACCACUAUAUGUGAAGAGUGAGGAAUGGAAGAAAAUCGCUCUCCUUGGUUACCGAGUUCAUAGAUCAAAUAAAGUGGGUGACUUCACCUCACCCACCACAAUGCCAUGCUACCUCGUCUCUUCAAUACGUACAACUGUUGGUAGUUGGUGCAGACUUUUUGUUUCACCCAGAAGGUUUCUCUUACCAUUGUUAUCAAAAUUGUCUGGUUCUUCAGUCUCCUAACUGUAAGCAUAUGAAAGAUGUUUCCAAAUAUAUGUUGUGCUCAAAAUGCAUCUUCUGCAACUCCAGCAAUUUUUCUGCUUACAAAAUUACUGUUGAUAUGCUGAUGUUGUUACUUUUAUGCCUGUGAUUUAUAACAUUUUUUCCCUUCCUCUAGAGAUAAUUGAGCUUGUUACUUUUAUGAGCCAAUAUAAAUAUGUCAAAUCAUAGAACAGGAAGUGGUUUCAGGGGAGUGUCUUAACAUGGUCCAUGUUCUAGUGGCAAGUUAUCAAGUAGGAUUAAAAUUAGAUGCCUUGUGCUCUUUGCUAAGCACAAGUAAAGCGACGUGUUAGAAAAGGGUCUCCUGCAAGGCUCAUUACUUCUUGCUAUCACUGUGUUUAACAGCUAUGCUUUGUAUUCCAUGCAGUAGUAAAAUUCAAAAGAAAUAAACUGUGUAGAGGUUGUAGGGUUGUUCCCUAAUACAUGAGCUGAAAUCUCCUCCUAAAAGCUUGAACAUGUUCAACUUGAAGCCAGUUUAGAGGUGAAAUGAAGGUGAUAUCAGCAAAUUUCAUGCUAGUUCCACGGUGUCUACCUUUACAGUUUGAAGUUUACCUUCCUAUGUUCCAUUGCUGAUUUUUUUUGCCAGACAUUCUUGAUUAUGAUUGCAAAGUUGAACAGCUAAAUUCUUGCUUUCAUGGGGUGGGCAACAACUUCUAAUUAUGCUCUUGAAAUAAAGAAUAGUGCAGUAGAUUUGAAGCACUUGGGAAGUAAAGCCAAACAAUCUCCAGGGCAAGGAAUUAAUAUGAAAAUAUAGUACAUUGUGCAUAUAUUAUAUGUAGGGAAGUAUGUCUGGAUUGUAAUAGUAGCUGCCUAAUACUUUAAUGGAUGAGCAAAUAGCACUCCAGAAGGCAUUGAUAAACUAUUGGGUUCCUGAAGCAGAUCACCAUUUUUCAACUUUCUUGCUCUCCAUAAAAAUCAGGACUCCAAUUUGGUACCGCUUUACAAGGGAUUAGAGAUUGCACCCUUUUCUUAAAUGCAUCAACUUAGCCAAUGAUUUAUUAUGAAGGCAAUGUCGAACACUGAAGAUGAGCUUUGAGAUUUUAACUCGUAGAAAAAGAAAAUUUACAAUGCUUAUUGUAACUUGAUCACUGAUUUGUUACAUAAUUCCUUGGACUUGAAGGUGUGUUUGGUUUUCAGAAUGAAUUUUGAUUUGUUUAAAAGGUAGAAAACCUUAAAUUGGCCCAUUUUGCUUGAAAUGGAUUUCUGAAUGAAUGAUGUGGUCCUCUUUCUAGUUUCAGUCACUACCACGUUUGAUUUGUCUGAAACAACUUCUUAGUCCACUGGUUCAUAUUAGCUGCCGAAUUACACGCCUUAGGCUUUCAGUUAGACAUGGGAACAGAUUAAGCUUGUUAUGCACGUCAAUUGUUAAUUGCUUUUAUAGUUGCUUUGAUUCACAUAGCUUUGGAGUUCUUGAUACUAAUAUUAGUACAAAUUUUUGUUUGUAGAAGUUUUAAUUGCUUCUAAAUCAUUAGUUAAGUUCUACCUUAUUUUCAUUUACUACUCAUUGCAAAUUGUUCUUUGAUUUUUUCUUAAUAUUUCAAAUUUCUGGCUUUUAACCUCUGUUUGCUUGCAAGUUCCAACUGCUUUCAACAUUGAAGCUUGAUUAGUCUAUGGGUACAAACUUAGUUUGAAUCAUUGUAGGCUCACUUCUAGUAUGAUUUCAGUGAUCUAGUAACUACAAAUUAUUGUGCUCCUUUAAUCUUCCACAUAAAUGCAAAUCUACUUGGUUCUUCUUCUACAACUUACCUGAAUAUAUUUUUGAAUCAAAAUCCUUUGUUACAGCAGGAAUAGUACCCACUAAUGACUGACUAAAUUUGGAAUUGAUAAAUGGAAGGGAAACACAAACUAGGUCUGUAAUGAAUGCAGUAAAGGUAAAAGAAGAAAGUACCUGAAUGAAAUUUGCAGUCCCAUCAGUGUGAAGAAAAGCAGAGUUUCCAUGGAAGGGCCUCAUGGUAAGAUGACUUAGCAUCAAUCUUUAUGCAAGGAACAUGCCCAAUUGUGGGCCAAUCUUUCCUUUUAGCAAAAUGAAUGGUGUAAAGUGCUUGAGUUGGUAACAAAAUGUGAAAAGUGGGGGUUUGAGGUUUCAACACAAUUUUCUCUUGAAGAAAUUAUCCCUAACCUAAAUUUUCAAUGCUUAGGUUGGAUUUGGUUUGGAUGGCCCAUAGACUGAUUGGGCAGAGUAAGGUGGUCCUAAGGGUCAUGGGGCUAAGGAUGGGCUAGGCUUAUAUGUAAUUUGCACCUUGAAUCUAAAUUUUAUAUUUAUAUGCAUCUACACUUUUCACACAUCCAUCCCGAAACUUAAAUCUUUUUAAUAUAUCCACUUGGUUAAUUUUUUCUUCCAUACCUUCUCUUCUACCUUCUUACCUCAUUUCUUCUUAGUCAAAACAAAAAUCAUCUCCCAAGCUUCUUUGUCACAAAAAAAUACAUUUGAAAUAAGUUUAAAGCUUCUUUGUUUCACAUGAAUGUUUUUAGUAUUAUUAGUUAUAUAAUUUUUUAUAAAUAUUUAUUGUAAAAAUAGUUAGAAAACAUUUAUGAUGAAUUUAACAUAUUUUGAGGCAAAAAGAAUAUUUUAAAAAAUAAAAAAUAAUAAUAUUUUUGUCCAAUAAUUGAUAGAAUUCAAUUUAAUUCAAUAGCUACAUAUUUUAUAGAUAUAGGAACACUUAGUUUAGGUUGGCAAUUUUAUUCCAUCCAUUCUAUUUUAGGACUUUGGAUAUUUAAUUUUAUGUGAUUUAUAUUACCUGAUGAAGACUCCAGAUUUGUAUAAAACCAACCUCCAAAAAUCCAAAUAAGUAUGAUUAAGUUAAUCAAAAGGCUAAUUAAUGACUUGUACAGGGCAUAAAGUGGCCUUACUUAUAGCAAUUAAAGUCAAUGUUUUGGUUUAAAAAUCCUUUCAUAUCUUCAUUAUAUAAGUAAAUAAAAUGGCAACAUAAUCUUAAAUAUUACAUUUAUAAUUAUUAUUCAAUAUAUCAUCUUUCUUAUAGUAAAAAAAGAAUAACAACAUACGCAAUUGGACCACAAAUAUAUACUCAAAUAAAAACAAUUUAGGUUAUAUUCAAUUCAACAUCAUGUACAAUUAUUAUAAUUAACAUAAAUAUAUAAAACAAAUCUCAUCACAACAUAAGUUAUUUGCUAGUAUAAUAUGAACUGUGGAUGAAUUUCCCAUCAACAAAUUUUUCAUUAUUUUUAAAAUUUUAUUAAAAAAUGUUUGUGAAUAAUCAUCAAGAUUCCGACCCCACUUUUGACUAACCCAUCAUGUGAAUGCUUAAAAAGACACUAGUACUUCCAAUAUUAUUUCUAUUUUGUCUAAUAAUUUGUGCAUCUUGAUUGUUUUAAGGGUUAUAUAAUUUUAUUUUUUAUUGAUUUUGAGAGUAGUUUUUAUAAAAAUAUUUUUAAUUUAUUUUAUUUUUAUUAAUGACAUUUUCACAGAAACGUUUGUUAAGAGAUCAGGUAACAAUCCGAUAUAAAUUUCUUUUUAUAAUUUUUAGUAACAUAUUAUGUAAGAAAAAUCAUAUUUUAAAGAAAUACAUAGUAAAUGCUAGUUUAAGAAUGAAAAGAUUCUUUAACUUUAUGAAACAAUUUUCAUAACUUUGUUAAAACAUGCUUUUUAAGUAUUUAGAAGCACUUUAAUCCUAUCAGAAUGAGCAACAUAGAUGUUUUUAUGUACCAUUCUAGCUAUUAAACAAUUUUCUAUUAAUCAAUUAAAAAAAGUAGAUGAAUGAGAUAUUAGAAAAAUGUAUACAUGCAUUUCAUGAGUUUUUCCUAAUCACAAAUCAAGUCUUUCGAAAGCUAAUAUGAAAAGGAUAAGAAGUAGGGUUACCUCUUUUUUAAUAUCUUCAAAUCAUACAAGAAGGGUAGAGACCUACACUACAUAAAUAGUCAACUUACAUACCAUCAAGGUUUGAAAAAAAUGGUUCAGAUGAUCGGACAACCAUCAAUAUGGACAUGACUAAAGCAAUUUGAUUUACUUUUUUUAUAAACUUACCCAAAAUCUCUUUCACUAAUUUUUUACUCAUAGAAGAUAUUCAAUCAUUCUACUUUUUUUUUUCUCAUGGUGUUAAUAUUUAUCUUCUCUUUUCUCUAUAUUAAAUCUUAUGGUAUACUUAAUUAAUUCACUCUCAUAUACGGAUACUAUUAAAAUAUAAUCAUAUGCGCUAAAAUUAAAUCAUUAUAUGGUUUGAACAAUAAAUUAAAAAUUCUUUCACUACCACUUCAUCAAGACAAGCAUACAUGUAAAUCUCAUUCCUUCUUCUUAAUAUUAAAGGUUUGAUAUCAUUUACCUUCUUCUUAAUACCUUUUUUUUUUUUAAUCUAAAGACCUAUAAAAUAAAAAAAUAAAAAAAAAACCUUUUGUUCUUCUUUUUAUACAUUACACCAAAAUUUUAAAAGCAAACUUUGGCACCAUUCAAUUAUUUUGAAAAAAUAUCCAACAUUUUGGAUAUUCCUUUUUGGUAAAUCCAUCUUAAAUCUAAUCCCAUCUUCCAAGACAGUCAUCUUAUUCAAUGAUUCCUAUCAAAGAGCCCAUAUAUUUGUAUCUUUUUGUAGGAUAAAACAAAUAUAAAGCCUAUUUGCAAAUUUUGGCAACCAUCUAAUUGCUUAAACACAAAUAUUAUAAGCUUAAUUAUUAUUUUGAGGGUCCAAAUUUGAAGAAUGGUUCUUUGCUUUUUAAUUGGGUAGGUGGAAUGGUGGAAGUAAUUAUUAUUUUGAGGAUCCAAAUUUGAAGAUUGGUUCUUUGCUUUUUAAUUGGGUAGGUGGAAUGGUGGAUGUAAUUAUUAUUUCGAGGAUCCAAAUGCGGAAUGACUCAUUUUUUUUGUCCCCAUUCAAGUUUUCAACACCUAAUAUUAAAAAGUUGGUACAUUAUUUUUUUCCAACUACACCCACUUGUAAUAUUUUUUUCCCGAAUCAAAUCAAUUUCUUUCUUUAAUUUCUUUUCUUUUGGCAUUUGCUUUUGCUGUCAAAUUCUUUCAAGGUUCCUGAAAUACCCUCUUCUGUUUUCACAUUUCUACUAUACGGUAAGCACGAGCUUAAUAUUGGACAAGGAUAAAACAGUAAUUAAAGCUGGAGGAACUCUUCUUCUUUCCCAACUUCAUGUUUCUACACAGCAGAUGCUUUGAGAGUGCAAAGAGUUUCCCAACAAAAGCUUGAUCCCGAGAUUCCUUUCAAAAUUAUGCUUAAAACAACACCAUUUACUUUCAAUAUGUUUCCAUUUUGUCCAUUAGAACAAUUCAUGUAUAUAACUUUAUUUUUUUAUUAAUUUUGAGAAUACUUUUCAUAAAAAUAUUUUUAGUUUAUUAUAUUUUUAUUAAUAACAAUUUCAUAUAAAUAUUUGUCAAGAGAUCAAGUGAGACUCAGAUAUAAAUUUCUUUUUAUAGUAUUUUUAGCAUUAUAUUAUCUAAGACAAAUAAUAUUUUAAAGAAAUACAUGUUAAAUGAUAGUUUAGAUAUCAAAGAUUCUUUAAUUCUAUGAAGCAUUUUUCGUAACUUUGUUAAGCAAAAUUUUGAUGAUCAAGUACUUUAAUCCCACCAAAAUGAGUCUUUAAAAUGUUUUUAUGUACCAUUCUAGCUAUUAAAUAUGUUUUCAUUAAUCUAUUAAAAAACCUAGAUCAAUUAGAUUUUAGAAAAAUAUAUGCAUUUCAUGAGUCUUUGCUCACCCACAAACUAAGAUUGUGUUUGUUUUUUUUGUUUUUUUAUGAAAGCAAUUUAUUUUCAGAAUUUAGAUAGUUUGUUUUUAUAUUUUUUCAUAACUUAUUAUAAAUUUUUUAUUAAAUAAAAAAAGCGAAAAUAUAUAGCUUUUUCUAAAUAAAAAAAAAUAACAUAUUGGUUUUUCUUUAUUUUUUAAUACUUAAUAGAAAUAAAAUACUACAAAAACAAACAACAUAAUAUUUAACACUAUUAAGUAUUAAGGUUCUAUUUAGAAUUAAGUAAAAAAACAAGGACCCCCUAAGUCUUUUGAAAGUCUUUUAUUUAAUAUCUUCAAUCAUACAAAAAGAGUAGGACCUACAUUACAUAAACAAUCAACUUAUAUACCAUCAAGGUUUAGAAAAAAUAAUUCAAAUAGUCGGACAACCAUCAAUGUGAAUAUGAUUAAAGCAUUUUGAUUUAUUGUUUUAUAAACUUAUAUGGGAGUCUAUUUCACUAAUUGUUUUAAUCAUGGAAGAUACUCCAUCGUUAUACUUUUUUCUCGUAUUUAGAUUCUAAUAUUUAUCUUCUCUUUUCUUGAUAUUCAAUCUUAGGUACACUUAAUUAAUUCACUCUCGUACAUGGAUACGAGAAUGAAGAGAGGCACCAAAGUUAAAUUACCAUAUGGUUUGAACAAUUAAAAAUUCUUUCUCUACCAUUUCACUAAGACAAGCAAGUAUGAAAAUUUCACAGCUUUAUCUCCUAAAUUUUCAUCUUUCUUUUAUAAGUUAUCUCGGGCCAGCGAUGAUAAUUUUUCUAGAGUUUAAAAAAAUAAUAAUAAUUAAAUAAUACAAAAAAAAAAUUAAAAUUAAAUUUAUAGAAGUUCAAUUUAUUUAAUAAAAAGUUUAAUUUAUAAAUAAAUUUACUUCCAACACCUAUCAGGAGGAUGUUACAAUUUAAAAUUUUAUUAGUUCAACUUCUGUUAAUGUUUUUAUUAUAAUAAAGAUGAAACAUUAGAAUAAAAAUUGAAGUUGAGGGAACGUCGGAUUUUGAAUAGAGCACUCCAAAAUAUUAAAGUGAGAAUUAAUUAAGAGCUUUCUUAAAGAAAACAUUGGUUAGCAUAUAGUAAUUUUAAUUGAGUGUAGCUUCUAUUAUAUAUUUAAUAUUUUUAUAUUUAAAAUUUUGUUUUUACGUUGCUGCAAUUAAAAGGUUUUUUUUAUUAUUUUUUUCUUUUUUAGAGUUUUACAACUGUAACUCUUCUCAUUUUGAUUAGUAGAUUAUUGAGUGUUGAUGUAUUUCAUGGAUGUAGGGAUCACAUUAAUCGUUGAACCACGUUAAAAAUUUUAUUUAUUUUUUAUUUUCUAUUUGUGUGUGUACGUGAUUUGAUUAACACAUUUGACACACUAUCCCACAAAAACAUUGAAUAGGUGCCCUAAAAGAGUUCAAGGAAGACCCCCACAAGCUUAGAGGGUUGGAGUCGUGGGAAGCCUAACAUUACAAUAUAAGAUUGUUUAGUUGUAUAUUCUAUACUUAUAUAUUUGGUGCAUUAUAAAAUAAAAUAAAAAUUGAUAAUAAGGUGAAAAAUUAAUUUUUAUUGAUUUAUAAUUGGGUGACAAAAGACUAUAAUGUAUAUAAUUCAUAAAUCAAUAAAUCAAGACUAAAGCAACUUGAUUAAUUAUUUUAUGGACCCAUGUGGGAGCCCUUUUCGUUAAUGGUUUUACUCAUAAAAGAAAUUCAAUAAUUCUACCAUUUUCUCAUGCUUGGGUUUUAACAUUUUAUAGAACUACACCCACUUGUAAUACUUUUUCCAGUCAACAAUUUUAAUUGAGUGUAGCUUCUAUAAAUAAUUGAUUUAUUGAGUAGUUUUAAAACUCGGAUGUUGAAGUAAAGUCAGUUUUGAAAAAAUUGGCCCCAUUAACAGCUGGACCGAAUAAUUUUCAAACCUAAAGUCAGUGCGGACAGCAAUAAAGCAAUUUGAUUGCUUGUUGUGCAGACACACCCAUGUGAUGUGACACUGCCUUUCCCUGAUUGCUUUAUUCAUUGAAGAUAUGCCAAAAGCAUGCAUUGUAUUUUUUUGCUUUUUCUUUUUCUUUUUUCUUUCAUUGUUUCAAUACUAAUGGACAAUUCUUCUCAGUAAUUUGUGGAAGUUCUUAAAGAACCCUUCUUUUUUUGUAAUUUCAUUGUGAGCAAAGGUGAUAUUUUGAUUGUAGAAGGGUGAACAAGUAAUUAGACCCAUCUCAUAUAAUUAAGAGCAAGUUUUGAGAGUGCAGAGGCCUUCACAACUCUCUGGGUUUUCUUCAUUGUAUGUUUCUGAACUUCUGAAUCCUUCGUUUCCAAAGAAAAAUGGUUGUGGUGGAGGCGUUUCUGUCUUCCUUGUUUGAGGUGGUGCUGGACAAGCUGGUGGCUGCCCCUUUGUUAGAUUAUGCACGCCAGCUCAAAGUAGACACAGCAGUGCUCCAGGAGUGGAGGAACACUUUGUUGCAGCUCCAAGCAGUGCUACAUGAUGCUGAGCAGAGGCAGAUUCAGGACGAAGCAGUGAAGAGGUGGCUGGACGAUCUCAAAGCUUUAGCUUACGACAUUGAAGAUGUCCUUGACGAGUUUGAAGCUGAAGCUAAGCGGCCCAGUUCGGUACAAGGACCUCAAACCAGCAGCAGCAGCAGCAGCGGCAAGGUAUGGAAGUUCAACCUCUCUUUUCAUCCUAGCGGUGUGAUUUCCAAAAAGAAGAUUGGUCAAAAAAUAAAGAUAAUCACCCAAGAGCUAGAGGCUAUUGUAAAAAGAAAGUCUUUCCUUCGUUUGAGUGAGAGUGUUGGAGGGGUGGCAUCAGUAACUGAUCAACAAAGGCUGACUACUUUCUUGGUAGAUGAGGUUGAGGUUUAUGGCAGGGAUGGUGAUAAGGAGAAGAUCAUAGAAUUGUUGCUGUCUGAUGAACUAGCUACUGCUGAUAAAGUUCAGGUGAUUCCAAUUGUUGGUAUGGGUGGGGUUGGAAAAACAACCCUUGCUCAAAUCAUCUAUAACGAUGACAAGAUGCAGGACAAGUUCGAUUUCCGAGUCUGGGUGUGCGUGUCUGAUCAAUUCGAUUUGAUAGGAAUAACAAAAAAAAUUUUAGAGUCAGUCUCUGGCCAUUCAUCCCAUUCUGAAAACUUGUCAUUGCUGCAAGCUAGUUUGCAGAAAGAGUUGAAUGGAAAAAGGUUUUUCCUUGUGCUGGAUGAUAUAUGGAAUGAGAACCCCGAUAACUGGAGUACCUUACAAGCCCCACUCAAAGCUGGAGCACUGGGCAGUGUAAUCAUAGCAACCACCCGCAAUGAAAAAGUAGCAUCAAUUAUGGGCACAACUCCUUUUUGUCGUCUUAGCGAACUAUCAGAUGAACAUUGCUGGUCAGUAUUUGCAUAUCGUGCCUUCGAAAAUAUAACUCCAGAUGCAAUAAAAAAUUUGGAACCUAUUGGUCGGAAAAUAGUACAGAAAUGCAAAGGUUUGCCCUUGGCAGCAAAAACGCUAGGAGGUUUAUUGCGGUCUGAACAAGAUGAAAAGGCUUGGAAGGAAAUGAUGAAUAACAAAAUAUGGGAUUUACCAACGGAACAGUGUAACAUUUUUCCAGCUCUACACUUGAGCUAUCAUUAUCUCCCCACAAAAGUAAAGCAGUGUUUUGCAUAUUGCUCCAUCUUUCCCAAGGAUUAUGAAUAUCAAAAGGAGGAGUUAAUUUUGUUAUGGGCGGCACAAGGUUUUGUGGGUGACUUCAAAGGAGAGGAGAUGAUAGAAGAUGGUGAAAAAUGUUUUCGGAACCUAUUGUCAAGGUCAUUCUUUCAACAAUCAAGUCAAAAUAAGUCAUUGUUGGUGAUGCAUGAUUUGAUUCAUGAUUUGGCCCAAUUUGCAUCUAGAGAAUUUUGUUUCAGAUUGGAAGUGGGAAAGCAAAAAAACUUUUCAAAGAGGGCUCGACAUUUGUCAUACAUCCAUGAACAAUUCGAUGUCUCCAAGAAAUUUGAUCCCCUUCGUAAGGUUGAUAAGUUACGGACCUUCCUACCAUUAGUUAUGCCUGCAGCUUAUGUUCCAACUUGCUACUUAGCUGAUAAAGUUCUACAUGAUCUAUUGCCAACAUUCAGAUGUUUGCGGGUUUUAUCCUUGUCUCACUAUAAUAUCACUCAUUUACCUGAUUCAUUUCAAAAUUUGAAGCAUUUGCAGUAUUUGAACCUUUCUAGCACCAAGAUAAAGAAGUUACCUAAAUCCAUAGGUAUGCUUUGCAAUUUGCAAUCACUGAUGUUGUCAAAUUGUCAUGGGAUUACCGAGCUGCCUCCUGAAAUCGAAAACCUCAUCCACCUACAUCAUUUGGAUAUUUCUGGAACCAAAUUAGAAGGGAUGCCAAUAGGAAUCAAUAAACUAAAAGAUCUUCGAAGAUUGACUACUUUUGUUGUUGGCAAGCAUAGUGGUGCAAGAAUUGCAGAGUUACAAGAUCUGUCCCAUCUGCAGGGAGCACUCUCCAUUUUUAACUUGCAAAAUGUGGUGAAUGCUACGGAUGCUUUAAAAGCUAAUUUGAAGAAAAAGGAAGACCUUGAUGACUUGGUGUUUGCGUGGGAUCCAAAUGUGAUUGAUAGUGAUUCGGAGAAUCAAACCAGAGUUCUCGAAAAUCUUCAGCCUCAUACCAAGGUGAAAAGGCUCAACAUUCAACACUACUAUGGCAGAAAAUUUCCAAAAUGGUUUGGAGAUCCUUCAUUCAUGAAUUUAGUUUUCUUACGACUUGAAGAUUGUAACAGUUGCUCGUCCUUGCCACCACUUGGGCAGUUACAAUCUCUCAAGGAUCUCCAGAUUGCGAAGAUGGAUGGAGUACAAAACGUUGGUGCAGAUUUCUAUGGGAAUAAUGAUUGUGACUCAUCUUCAAUUAAGCCGUUUGGAUCCCUAGAGAUUCUGAGGUUUGAAGAUAUGUUGGAGUGGGAAAAAUGGAUUUGUUGUGACAUUAAGUUUCCUUGUCUGAAGGAGCUUUAUAUCAAGAAAUGUCCAAAGCUGAAAGGAGAUAUACCUAGGCACCUUCCUCUUUUAACAAAAUUGGAGAUUAGUGAAAGUGGGCAGCUGGAGUGUUGUGUUCCAAUGGCUCCCUCUAUUCGUGAAUUGAUGUUGGAGGAAUGUGAUGAUGUGGUGGUUAGAAGUGUUGGCAAGCUCACCUCACUAGCUUCUUUGGGCAUAAGCAAAGUUUCUAAAAUACCAGAUGAAUUGGGACAACUGCAUUCUCUUGUAAAGUUGUCUGUGUGUCGUUGUCCCGAGCUAAAGGAAAUUCCACCAAUUCUUCACAACCUUACAUCUCUUAAACACUUGGUGAUCGAUCAAUGUAGGAGUCUUUCAUCUUUUCCGGAGAUGGCGCUGCCACCCAUGCUUGAAAGGCUUGAAAUCAGAGACUGUCGCACUCUGGAGUCCCUACCAGAGGGAAUGAUGCAAAAUAAUACGACUCUGCAAUACUUGGAAAUCCGUGAUUGUUGUUCUCUGAGGUCCUUGCCCAGGGACAUUGAUUCAUUGAAGACACUUGCAAUCUACGAGUGUAAGAAAUUGGAGUUAGCACUCCACGAGGAUAUGACGCACAACCACUACGCUUCCCUUACCAACUUCAUGAUAUGGGGUAUUGGUGAUUCUCUGACGUCCUUUCCAUUAGCCUCCUUCACAAAGCUUGAGACGCUUGAAUUAUGGGAUUGUACAAAUCUGGAGUACCUUUACAUUCCAGAUGGACUUCACCACGUGGAUCUCACAUCUCUCCAGAUAUUAUAUAUCGCUAAUUGCCCUAAUCUGGUAUCUUUUCCGCAAGGAGGAUUGCCCACUCCUAAUCUGACAUCUCUUUGGAUAAAAAACUGCAAGAAGCUCAAGUCACUGCCGCAAGGGAUGCACUCCCUCCUUGCAUCCCUUGAAUCAUUGGCAAUAGGAGGUUGUCCAGAAAUUGAUUCAUUUCCAAUAGGGGGUUUGCCCACUAAUCUAUCUGAUCUUCACAUCAAGAAUUGUAACAAACUCAUGGCCUGUCGGAUGGAGUGGCGCUUGCAAACGCUUCCCUUUCUUAGAAGCUUAUGGAUUAAAGGACUUGAAGAAGAAAAAUUGGAGUCAUUUCCUGAGGAGCGGUUUCUGCCCUCCACUCUCACCAUUCUUUCAAUUGAAAAUUUUCCAAAUCUGAAAUCCUUGGACAAUAAUGACCUUGAGCACCUGACCUCUCUUGAAACUCUGUGGAUUGAGGACUGUGAAAAGCUCGAGUCCUUGCCAAAACAGGGAUUGCCCCCCUCCCUUUCUUGUCUUUAUAUUGAGAAGUGUCCUCUGCUGGAGAAGCGAUGCCAAAGGGAUAAAGGGAAAAAAUGGUCCAACAUUUCUCACAUUCCCUGCAUCGUGAUAUUUAAUGAAAAGGAUUUGUCAAUUGAAGAGGUCAACAUGUCAUGAGGCACUUGCAUCCAAACUCUUGCCUUUCUAUGCAAUUAUUAAUUCAGUACGUACUUUCUACUUUUAUUUAUGUUUUGUGCAAUCCACACAACCGAGUUUGUGUAUCAUUCUCUUCUACCAAUCAAUUCCAUCUCACCAUACACCUUCCAUGGCUGCUCCAGAAUUGAAACCAAUAUUUUAAACUCUAAUACAAAAUCAAAACAAACUACUACUUGAAAAUUACUUUUAUUUUUUAAUUAUAUGAAUAUUAAAUGUGUGUAGUAGUUUUAAAUUUCUUUCUUUCUUUUUUAAAUAUCUUUAGUAGUUAUAUAACAAAUAGAAAAAUUGAAUUUUAAAGGAUUUUUCAAUAAAUUUUAAGUGAUUUUCCUUGAUUUUAUUAUCAAAAUUUUAAAAUAAAAAGUAAAAAUACCCCCCAAAAUACACCUUUGAAAUUAUUUUCAAAUUAAAUUUUUUUUAAAUCCAAAUAAAUAAAAAAGUACAAAUGAACAAUCCUUAAUUUUUGUGGGAGUUUUUUUUUCAUGUUUUUUAGUUUUUUUUUUUUAAAAAAAAAUUAUUUGAUCAACAACCCUUGUAUUUGAAUCUUUGAAUUUGUGGUGUGUGUCUUUUAACGUUAAUUUCUUCAAAUAGGAGUAGGCUUAUAUAUGUUGUAUGUUAUCAAUAUCAAAGAAACUAUUAAUAUGUUUAAUUCCUUUGAACCUGAAAACAACUGUACCUAUGAUCUGUAAGUGAAAAACAAGCCAAACAUAUUGACUUUGAAACUAUAAUAUUUUGUAUGAAUUGUCCAAAUAUAUUCAUUUAAGGCUUUUCAUGAACUCUAUGUAGGUUUUUUUUAAUACAAUUUUCGAGACAAAAUGUUGGAGGGCAACAAUCAUUUUCUUAGCAGUUCUAUGUUAUAUGUAAGUACAUGUAUACUUGUUCCUUGGUUCUAAUUUGGUGGGGUAUAGAUUUUUAAGUGACCUUUGUAAACAAUUAGCUCAUUUCUAAUUCUAAUUCCAGUUUCUGUAAUCAUAUUUCAGGGACUGUAAAACUAUUCAUGUCAUGAUGAAUUUUUUAUGCUUGAGUGCAUACAAUCUCGUUAUUGAUCGAGGAGGUUCUCCACCAAACAACUCCAUUCAUAGCUAUAGAGUGCCCUGUUUUCACAUAGGUACAAAUUAUUCCACAAUCCCACUUUCUCACUUACGACAAUAAUUCACAUAUAUGAGUUUCAACUGAAGAAAACUUGAUUUAUAUUUCAUCUCUAGGAAUAAGCAAAAACCUGAAUUAACAAAUGUGGGAACAAUUAGCCAAUCUCAUUGGUUUGGUUGCUGAGGAUUGUCUUCUUUAGAGUUUUGACAUUAUGCUUGCUCCUGAAUUCUCCAUGGUGACACCAUCAAUAUCUAUUCCUUGACUUUGCUCCAUGUGAAAGCUUUCAACUCAUUAGAGCAACUACUAAAGGAUUGUACUUGUGGGUUCUUCACAAUCUAAAGGGUAUUAAUUCUUUUCUUGGUCCCCUUGAUUCACAUAUAUAAUUUUAGAGUUAUGGUCACUAGUAUUAGUGUGCAUUUUAGUUUGUUUCAUUUUAUUGUUUUUAAAUCAUUAAUUAAUAUGUAAUGAUCGAUUUUCAUUCACUACUCGCUACAAUUGGGUCUUCAAAUAACAAUCCUACUUGGUUUUUUCCUUUUAAUAUAUCAUUUAUGUGUCUUUUCACUAUUUUUUGUUGGCAACUUCAUUUGCUAUCAGCAUCUCUAAUCUGGAUCAAAUGACUUCUCUUUAUAGAAGUUUGGUUGAUCCAUAAUUAUAAAUUUAUUUUUGAUCCAAAUACACUGUAAAAUUCCAUCUAAUGAAAUAUUUUAAGUCCACAUUAUGUGGUUGUCCUUAAACCUAGGUUCAUCUUUAUUUUAUGCAGCUUCCUCACUGGCAUCACUGAAGGCUUUGGAAGAGGUAUUCACAUCACAUUUUCUCCAAACAAUCUUUCCCAAUGUCAUUGACUUUUGGAAUAAAAUAUGGCUAGCUUUUACCACCAUAAUGAUUCUGUUUUGUUAGAAUAUUUAUAUCAGUGAGCAUGCCGCAUGGGAAAUGCAACACUUUUCAGAAGUUAACAUGAAAUUAGCUGGACAUGUUUUGGAAAAUUGGGUAGCUUCUACCCUUGAUCCAUGAAAGCACUCUUCAGCUGAACCUGAUUUGGAAGUAGAAAUUUAAUUCCAUGGCGCAAUUUAGUGUUAUUAUUUGUCAUUGCUUUUGAGUUGUCAUCAGAUUUUCAACAUGUGACUGCAUUUUAUGGAUGCUUGUUUCUUUGUUAUUUUGAUUUUAGAAUGGAGAUUGUUGCUCAAAAAGUUAAUGCAGAACCACAAAGACACGGAACUAUGUGAAUGGUAUGGCAUUGGAUGGAUUUUUCAUUUUUCCUCUAUCUUGUAUAGGAAGAGCUUAGCUAGACAUGGUAGAGAAACUCUCUUUUUAAAGUUUAUUAGCCAAAUUAUAUAUGACAUCAUAUUUCAUAGAAACAACUACUAUGGCAUCAUAUUUCAUAAGACUUUGAAAUUAUCUACGAGUGGAGAUUGGAUGAGUAGGAUUAUGCAUUUUAUUUAGUUUGCUCCUUCUGUCAUCAUAUUUUAUUUAGUUCUCUUGUUGCCAUUAAACUAUGCAAGUUCCUCUGACUUUUGGCAACUUAAGAUGAGAGUAACUUGAAUGAAUAUACUACAAAAAUAUUUCUGGUUCUAUUUUACCACUGCAUGCGUAAAAUUCCGGUCCACAUCGAACUCUUAAGGGUGAAUAUCCAUGCUUAAUAGAUAGUUGGUGAAUUGCAUAUAGAUAUUUGUAAUUGCUUAAUUUAUUCAUAGAGCUAGAAUUUAUAUUUUGUAAACAGGAGUAUAAAGGAAGUAAGAAGAAAAGCGAAGAACUAUGGCCAUGAAGGUUAGAUCAGCUUGCUAAGUUGGUAUAACAACACAAAGUAAGACUUCUUCUAUUACUCAAAUAACCGAGUGACAUAUCCUAGCAAGAAAAAACUGUAUGAUAUUUUUACAAAUUGAAACCACCUUUGCUGGGUUUUCCAGACCUUCAACAUGCAAGGGAAAAAACAAUCAAGACUUUAAUGCUUCUAUAUUUUUAUGAUUAAAAAGUUCAAAGUUUUAGAAAAUUAUAGAAGAUGCUGUUGGAUGUAGUUUUUGAUGCAGGUUAUUAAAUGGGCUGUCAACAAAACCCUUAGAAAUAGAAAUUAGAGGUUGAUCUAAACUUUCAAAUCUAGCUAUUUUUCCACUUUAAAAUUUAAUAUAAGAUUCAGUUAAUGGACAAAUUGCAUUUCAAUAUUGCAGGCUUAUAGUGUAAAUGCCAACUUGGUAGCUAUCAGAAAAGCUUUCAGUACUACCAUAGCUGUUUUAUUUUGCUGGGGUUUUAUGUCCAACCAUGUGCUGGAAGAGAACUUUCUCCAAGCCCUUUCAGAAGCUUAUAAUAAACCUCGAAAGUCCUCAUGCCACAUUAAGGUAGGGAAAUGGGAUUGUACCUGUGACCUGUGACCUGUUUCAUACUCCCACUAGCUGUUACUAAUUUCUUUUUUUUCUUUUCUAAUUUAUUAGAUCUUUGAAUCCUUGAUAUGUCGAUGUGUUAGUGAAGCUCUGGGGGUCUAAAAAGCGGUGCAAAAGUGGUGCAAAAUCACUAAUCAUUGGAACUAGAUAUAUGCAGUGGGGAUCAGAACAAGCUAAUUCAGUUCUUUCUCCCUUGAAUCAACUUGCUAUGCUACCACUGUAUGUGAAGAGUGAGGAAUGGAAGAAAAUCCCUCUCCUUGGUUACGGAGUUCAUAUAUCAAAUAAAGUGGGUGACUUCACCACCACAAUGCCAUGCUCCCUCUUGUCUCUUCAAUACGUACAACUGUUGGAAGUUGGUGCAGACUUUUUGUUUCACCCAGAAGGUUUCUCUUACCAUUGUUAUCAAAAUUGUUUGCAUGUCUGGUUCUUCAGUGUCCUAACUGUAAGCAUAUGAAAGAUGUUUCCAAGUAUCUGUUGUGCUAAAAAAGGAUCUUGUGCAACUCCUGCAAUUUUUCUGCUUACAAAUUUACUGUCGAUAUGCUGAUGUUGUACUACUUUCACUCCUAUUCAAUGGAAUAAAAUUCAUUUCUGUGGCUACGGUUUAAAACAUUUUUUCCCUUCCCCUACAGAUAAUUGAGUUUGUUACUUUUAUGAGUGAAUAUAAAAAUGUCAAGUUACAGAACAAGAAGUGGUUUCAGGGGAGUGUCUUAACAUGGUCCAUGUUCUAGUGGCAAGUCAUCAAGUAGGAUUAUAGCAACGUAUGUUUGAAUGGAUCCCAUUCUUUUUCUGGAUUUAAAUGCCUUGUGCUCUUUGCUAAGCACAAGUAAAGCGACGUGUUAGAAAAGGGUCUGCUGCAGGGCUCAUUACUUGCUAUCACUGUGUUUAACUAAUAUGCUUUGUAUUCCAUGCAGUAGUAAAAUUCAAAAGAAAUGAGCUGUGUAGAGGUUGUAGGGUUGUACCCUAAUACAUGGGCUGAAAUCUCCUCCUAAAAGCUUGAACAUGUUCAACUUGAAGCCAGACUUAGAGGUGAAAUGAAGGUGAUAUCAGCAAAUUUCAUGCUAAUUCCAUGUUGUCUAACUUUACAGUUUGAUUUUUACCUUCUUGCGUUCCAUUGAUGAUUUUUUGCCAGACAUUCUUGAUUAUGAUUGCAAAGUUCAACAAUCAAAUUCUUGCUUUCAUGGGGUGGGCAACAGCUUCUAAUUAUGCUCUAAAUCAAGAAUGGUGCAUUAAUUUUGAAGUACUUGGUAAGUAAAGUCAAACAAUCUCCAGGUCAAGGAAUUAGUAUGAAAAUAUAGUACAUUGUGCAUAUAUUAUCUUUAGGGAAGUAUGUAAUAGUGGACUGCCUAAUACUUUAAUGGAUGAGCAAAAUUCAAUGGCUUCAAUGUCUUUGGUUGUUCUUCUUCAACCUAUCUGAAUAUAUUUUUGAAUCAAAAUUCAGUAGCACUAGGAUUUUGCCCCAUCUACAACUUCAAUGUUCUUCUUGUGGCCAAUGCAAUGUCCAAUGUGUAACACAAUGUAUAUACUUGCUCCAAUUGGAUACCUUAUACGUGAUUUCUGUUUCAAUAGCAAAGUUCAAUUUAUUGUACUUUGGAAAUUGCAACAUAGAAUUAAAUUUCAUCUUCAGAAAUGAUUAUAGCGGACACUGAUUUUGUAGUUGGAAUAGAAAAGCAAUCCAUUUUUCCUGCACAUCCAAGUUGUAAAUUGAAUGCUAGCUUCUGAAAGGCACUUGAAGAUAUCUCAAUGGAAGUCAUGUGGUGUAAAUAUCCCUGGUGAAUUCUUCAGUUUCAAACUGUUUCCAUAUUCUUAGAACCAAGCAUAAGUAAAAUGAACUUCUUUAAAAGUUUUAGGAAAAGGAAAGUUAGGCUAGAUAUUUAUAGGAUAUUUAGGCAAAGUAUUUAAUUAUCUUCUCUUUUCUCUACAUUAAAUCUUAUGAUAUAGUUAAUUAAUUCACUCUCAUAUAUUGAUACAAGUAUGAUCAAGGCACUAAAGUUAACUUACUAUAUGGUUUGAAUAAUUUACUAUUCAUUCUCUAUCAUUUCACCAAGAUAAGCAUAUGUGAAAAUUUCACAGAUACCUCCGCAAUUUAUGAAUAUCUUAAUGAUUUUAUAAUUAUAUGGUUACCAUUGUAUAGCAAUGAAUUGAUUUUACAAUUGAACCAAAGAAAAUGACAUUUUUUUCUCAUUUUUUCUCCUAAUUAUACUAGAUGUUUACUACUAUAUAUUAAGCCCAUUUAAUAGUGAAUUGAUUUGAUUGGGUCUUAGAGAAAAAGAUAGAGCGGCCUUCACUUGACCAAUUCAACUUAUAAAUAAGCUCGUUGAUGUCAAUUUCAAAGUUGUAUCUCUUCUUCUCUAUAUUAAGCCCAUUUAAUAGUGAAUUGAUUUGAUUGGGUUUUAGAGAAAAAGAUAGAGCAGCCUUCACUUGACCAAUUCAAUUUAUAAAUAAGCAUGUUGGUGUCAAGUUCAAAGUUGUAUCUUCUCUCUCUUUCUUUUUUUACUAAGUUAAUAUUAAUUUUUAUCUUUUAGUAUCACGGGUUUAAGAAUCAACCAAAGAAAAUGACAUUUUUUUCUCAUUUUUCCCCCUAAUUAUACCAGAUGUUUACUAUUAUAUAUUAAGCCCAUUUAAUAGUGAAUUGAUUUGAUUGGGUCUUAGAGAAAAAGAUAGAGCGGCCUUCACUUGACCAAUUCAACUUAUAAAUAAGCUCGUUGAUGUCAAUUUCAAAGUUGUAUAUCUCUUCUUCUCUAUAUUAAGCCCAUUUAAUAGUGAAUUGAUUUGAUUGGGUUUUAGAGAAAAAGAUAGAGCAGCCUUCACUUGACCAAUUCAAUUUAUAAAUAAGCAUGUUGGUGUCAAGCUCAAAGUUGUAUCUUCUCUCUCUUUCUUUUUUUACUAAGUUAAUAUUAAUUUUUAUCUUUUAGUAUCACGGGUUUAAGAAUCAACCAAAGAAAAUGACAUUUUUUUCUCAUUUUUUCCCCUAAUUAUACCAGAUGUUUACUACUAUAUAUUAAGCCCAUUUAAUAGUGAAUUGAUUUGAUUAGGUCUUAGAGAAAAAGAUAAGAGCGGCCUUCACUUGACCAAUUCAACUUAUAAAUAAGCUCGUUGAUGUCAAUUUCAAAGUUGUAUCUCUUCUUCUCUAUAUUAAGCUCAUUUAAUAGUGAAUUGAUUUGAUUGGGUUUUAGAGAAAAAGAUAGAACAGCCUUCACUUGACCAAUUCAAUUUAUAAAUAAGCAUGUUGGUGUCAAGUUCAAAGUUGUAUCUUCUCUCUCUUUCUUUUUUUACUAAGUUAAUAUUAAUUUUUAUCUUUUAGUAUCAUGGGUUUAAGAAUCCUCACUGAGGCACCUGUCAAUUCAAGAGAAGUAGGGAUAUAUUAUUAUUUAUUAUUACUACUAAUUAUUAUUGUUCCCUUUGUUUCAUCAAUAUUUAUCUUUUCAAGAACCUAUUUUUAUUUAUUUAUGUAUCAUUAUUAAUAUUAUUAUUAGUAAAAUAUUAUCAAUAGUUAAAUUAAUAUUACCCUCUUUAAUAAUAAUAAUAAUUCAAUAGAAGAAAAAAAAAACUUUAAAAAACAAAAAUGAAAUGAUGAAAAAAAAAGAAGAUAAUUUUGAUAUUUUUUUAUAGUCAAGCGGUCAAAUAUUGUUAGGAAAAAAUUAAAUAAUAUUUAUAGGUUGGAGGUUCUAAACCACAAUUGUCAUUAAGUCUACUUGUUGAGUGUUUUCCAAUUUGUCAAAAAAGGGGUAGGAGUAGGUCCUACAUUGUUGGAAAAUUGAUCAGUUCUCAAAAAAUUGACAGCACGGGCGGCUAGACUAGGUCAAUGCAAGAGACCAAUUUUCAAGUUUUAGAUUUUUUCAGACCUAAAUUCAAUUUUUUGAAGGGUGUAUAUCAAAACACAUUCUUUCCUGUGCAUGUCGACUUUUAAUUAAAAUCAAUGUUUCAGUUUAACAACCUUUUUAUAUAAAAAUCCAACAUAAUCUUAAAUAUUACAUUGACAAUUAUUAUUCAAUUGGAUAACAAAUAUAUGCUCAAAUAAAAAUAAUUUAAGUUAUACUGGACGUUAUAUUUUAUUAUUCAAAUUCAACAUUAUCUAUAAUCAUUAUAAUUAAUAUAAACAUAUAUAAAAAAUCUUCUUGCAGUGUAAGUUAUAAGUUAUUCGCUAGUAUAAUAUGAAUUGUCGAUGAUUUUCUCGUCAACAAAAUUUUUAUUAUUUUAUUAAAAAAUGUUGUGGAUAAGCUUCACUGUUCCUAUAUACUUUUUAACCAUUGAAUGCUUAAAAAGACACCAAUUAUUUUCAAUAUGAUUUCCAUUUUGUAUAUUUUAACUAUUUAUACAUCUUUAUUUUUAUUCUUUUAGGUUAGUUUUGGUUAAAAAAAAAGAAAGUUUUAAUUUAUUGCAUUUUUAUUAAUAAUAUUUUUAUAAAAGCAUUUGGUCAAAAAAUCAAGUGAUACUCAAAUAUAAAAUUGUUUUCAAUAGUAUUUUUAGUAAUAUAUUAUUGAAGAAAAAAAAAACUUCAAACUAAAUGCAAGUUUAAGAAUCAAAAGAUUUUUUAAUUUUAUGAAGAGAUUUUUUUAACUUUGUUAAACAUAUUGAAAGUUUGUAGAUCUCAAUUAUAGAAUACCUAAAGGUAGUAAAAAGGAAUUUGAACUUUUAAGCCCAAAAUUAAUUAUUUUUAAUUAUUUAACUAUCUUAAUUCUAAAUUAAGAAAGCCAACAAAACAAUCCAUACAAAAGAGAGAAAGAUCGUUUGUCAAAACCUCUGCAGAACAUGUGGAGAUAAAAAAAUCAUGAGGUCAAAGACCUCAAAUCUACAAUCCACUAUGUGAGAAUGCAAUACACAAUUUUACUUAGUAGACGCUAUCUCUAAGACUUACUUUCCAUUACUUACACCGCAUUCCACAUCCACGACAUAACACCUCAUGUGCUUUUAGUGAAUCUCAUAUUAGCGCCUAAAGAGAUGCAUAUCUCCUUUAUAACCCAACAUAAGUACAAUGAACUUCUUUGAAAGUUUUGGAAAUAAGAAGGCUAAUAAAGUUUUCUCCACUAUGCGCCUCAAACCAAAAACCAUUUUAGGUGAGUAUUUAUAGGAUACAAAUAUCUAGUGGACUAUGGACUCAAAUUAGGAUUUCCAAAAUAAAUCCAAUUACAAUUUUAAUAUUAAUCCACUUACAAUUCUAAAAUUAAUUUAAUUGUAUAAAAUUGGAAUUCUAUCACAAACUUCUAAACACCCUUGAAAGUUUUUAAAAACAAUUUAAGAAUCUUAAGUAUACCAUAAACCUUAUAUAAAUCCCAUUAGCUUUUCAUAAACUUUUCUAUACUUAUGUUAUUCUGAUUGAUCAUGUAGCAAUUUUGAGUCUUCAAUGAAGAAUAAGACACAUAAUCUAAAAAAGUCUUAUAUCAUAAUGAAUGAAACAAAAUUAUCAACUUAAAUUACAUAAUGUACCACAACACCAUACUUUUGAGCAUUAAAAAAAUACUUCAAUCUCAUUAGAUCGAGUCUCAAAUAGGUUAACCUUUUUAUGAACCAUUCUAGUUAUUAAAUAUAUUUCUAUUAAUUUAUUAAAAAAACCUAGAUGAAUAAUAUGUUAGAAAAAUGUAUAUAUAUUUCAUGAGACUUUCCCUACUCAAACCAAGUCUUUUGAACUUUCAAAAACAUUUUAUUUAAUAUGAGAAGGAUAUGGGAUCACUCGAGCAAAACAAGAACAAAAGAACUAGCGUCACCUCCUUUUUAAUAUAUUCAAAUCAUACAAUAAAUGUAGGGACGUACAGUGUAGAAAAAUUUGACUUCUACACCAUCAAUGUUUGGAAAAAAAUGGCUUGUUUAGACAACCAUCAAUAUGGACAAGACUAAAGCAACUUAAUUGAUUAUUUUAUAGAUCUAUGUUUCAUUAAUGGAUUUACUCAUAGAAGAUAUUCAAUUAUUCUACUUUUUCUCAUGCUUAGGUCUUAAUAUUUAUCUUCUCUUUUCUUUGUGUUAAAUCUUAUGGUAUAUUUAAUUAAUCCACUCUCAUAUAUUGAUACAAGUAUGAUCAAAAGCACUAAAGUUAAACAACUAUAUGGUUUGAACAAUUCACAAUUCCUUCUCUACCACUUCAUCGAGACAAACAUAUGUGAAAAUUUCAUAGAUGCCUCCACAAUUUAUGAAUAUCUUAAUGAUUUUAUAAUUUUAUGGUUACCAUUGUAUAGUAGUGAAUUGAUUUUGGGUUUUAGGAGAAAAAAGAUACAACAACGUUAUUAUAAUGUAAUUUACUAUUUAAGGAAAGAAAUUAUUUGUAACAUCAAAGGAGUUGAUUGGCUUAUGGACAUGAAAGUUAUGUUUGGAUUGAAUCUUGAAAAAAAUAGCAAUUAUUAAAAAAGAAAAAAAUUAUAAAUAAAUUCAUUUAUGAAAGUUUAAUUUAUUUUUAAUAAAGAGUUUAAUUUAUAAAUAAAUUUAUUUCCAAUAUAUACAUUUCUAUUAAUGGACAAUUACCAUUUUGACCUUACUUUUUGACCAAUUCAUCAUGAGCAUGCUUGAAAAUGCACCAUUUACUUUUGAUACUAUUUCCAUUUUCUCUAUUUGAUUGGUUCAUGUAUGUGGAUUGUUUUUUAAGUCAUACAAAUCUACUUUUUUUUUAAUUAAUUUUGAGAGUAAUUUUUGUAACUUUUAUUAUUAACAUUUUUCAUAUAAAUAUUUUUUUAAGAAAUUUAUUGAAAUUUAGAGAUAAACACAUAUUAAGAACUUAAAAGAGAUUAUUCCAUGUUAGUGUUCUAUAAAAUGAUUUAUAAAACUUUUUUAAACAUGCUAUUGAGUAUUAAAAAGUACUUUAAUCCCGGAAAAAAAAAAAAAGUCUCAAACACACUCUAGGUAUUAAAUCUGCUUCUAUUAAUUUAUAAAAGAAAUUAGAUGAAUUAUGAAGCAAAAAAAAUUAUACAUUUCAUGAGGCAUUCCCUACUUAAAGCAAGUUUUUAAAAUAUCUAAAAUCAUUUUAUUUAAGUUGAAAAUACCAUCAACUUUUGGAUUAAAAAAAAAAAAAACAAAGGAUUUGGACGGUUGGAUUGAUACAACGCACUUAAGACAAUCAUUAAUAUAGACAAAAGAAAAACAAUUUGAUUGAUUGUUUCAAAAAUAAACCCAUUGGGGAAGUCCCUUUCACUAAUUACUUUACUCAUGGUAUUCAAUUAUUAUAGUUUUUUUUUUUUUCUCAUGAUCAAGUUUUAGGGUAUGUUUGGUCCUAAAAAAAAUGCAACAACCUUUUAGUAUUAGUGUAUAGUGAUAUAAUAUUAAUCCUUAAUUUAAUAAAUGAAGAUAAGGUUAAAAGAGUUGAUUGGCAUAGGGGAUUGAAAAUUAAUGGUAUGAAUGAUUUUUAAAAAAUAUGAAUAAAAACAUUAAAGAAAAUAAAAAGGAAAAGUAGAAAAAAAAUAAAUCAUAAAUAAAAAGAUAAAAAAAUAAAUUUAAAAUUAAUUAAUUAUUUCUAUAUAUUACUUCAAACUCACUUAACAUAUUUUAGUUUUCUUAUAUAUAAAAGUUAAAUAAUUUUAGAAUGUAUAAGUUCCUUCCUACUUCAAACUCAUUUCACUUAUAUUUAAACUUUUUCAAUAUUAUCAUUAUUAUUAUUGUUUGAAAUAUUCUUUUAAAUAAUUACUUAUUAUUAAAAACAUAUGUAUUGGUAUUAUUAUUUGUAAUUACCUGCUAAUUAUUAUUCCCUUUGUUUUAUCAAUAUUUCACUUUUCAAGAACUUAUUUUUAUUUAUUUAUGUAUUAUUAUUAUUAUUAUUAUUAUUAUUAUAAGUAAAAUAUUAUCAAUAGUUAUAUUAAUAUUAUCCCAUUUAAUUGUAAUAUUAUUAUGUAAUUAUUAUCAUUAUCACCAUUAAUUAUUAUUAUUAUUAUUUGGUUUUUAUUAAAAAUAAUAUAUAAUGUUUAUAUUAAUAGUUUAAUAUUAGCCCAUAAAUAAUAGAGUGAAUAAUAAUAAUAAUAAUAAAGAAAAGGGAAAAUUGAUCAAAAGGGACAAAAAUCCCUCAAUAUUGUAAAACUAACCCCCCACUUUUAAUAGCCUCCAAAAUGACCCGAUCUGGACAAAAAUACCCCUCAGCUACAUCAACUCCUUUUUCCCUCCCAUUCUAAUUUUAUUUCCCUCCAUUCACCUCCUUUUUAUUAUUUCUUCCACUUUCUCAAUUUUUUCAUUUUCUCCUGUUAUUCCGUUUCUCUCUUUUCAGUGCAUUUCUUCAAGUCUCACACAGUUUCUCUUCAGAUUUCUUCAACUUAAAGCGCUUUAAGUUGUGGUUGGAUAAACAGUGUACAUUUAUUUUUAUUUUUCCAUAUUUUUUUCUUUCAUGUUUUAUUUAUUGAAUAUUUUCAAACAUUUAAUGAGAUGUAGUAAAUAUUUAAAUAAGUUUGAAAUUGUUAUAAUUUUUUUAAUAUUAUUUACAGCCAUGAAAAAAGGGAUUAAAAGAAGGAAACAAUCAGCUUAAAAAGUGUAGUGUGGAGAAACAUUGUCUAUAUGGAAAAAUCAAAUGAUGGUAAGUAAUAAAACUUAUGAAAUUUUAUGAUGGUUUUGGUAUUGUUUGCAUAUUUGUGCUUUAUAUAGAUGUAAAUAUAUGUGUUAAUAGGGUUUUGACAUAAUAUAUAAAGUUAUCUUUUUUAGUUAUAUAUCAAAACCUUACGGAUAUUAAGUUGAACUUGACGUGUGUUAAGUUGAACUUGAAGUAAGUUAAGAUUGUAUAUAGUUAUUUUAUAGUAACAUUAUAUUAUUGUUAUUGUAUUUAAUUAUACUCAAUUUGAGUUGAAUCAUUUGCAAAUUACCCUUGACAUUAAAUAAAUUACAACAUAACCAAUCUUUUAGUAAAUAAAUAUAUUUUUAUUGUUUAAAAUAGUUUAGAGUUACAAUGUCUGAAUUUAUUUAAUAACUAUAUACAUUGUAUUUCUAUAUCAUUAUUGGUAUUAUUUGAGGUAGUAAAGAUGAUUAAUAAUGUUAUUUAUUUGUUGUUUAUUAAAAAAAUAAAUAUGUGUAAUGAAAUAAUAUGUAUUUAAUAAUGAAUGAGUUUUUUAAAAUUAAUACCUACUUAUUGGUGCUAAUGUUAUGAUGUAACUAAAAAAUAUUCUAAUAUUGUUUGUUGAUGCCACUAAUUGAAUUAUUCUGUUAUUUCAGUGGUUGAUGAAGUAGGAAUAAUGCUUUUAUAUGAAGGGGAAUGGGUACGAGAUGGAAAUGUUUUCUAUUUCGAAGGAAGUAAAGGUAAAGGCAUUGAGAUCCCGAAAACUAUAUCAUAUAAAGAGUUAUUAGGGGUUGUCCAUCAUAUUUUGAAGCUAGAUCCAACAAAUUGUUUUCUUUCAAUGAAGUAUGUAUUCAAUGCCAACAUACCCACAAGUCCUAUACAACUAACUGAUGAUGGGGAUGUGAAAUUCUUUAUUGGUUUAAUUUGUACAAAUGGUAAGCUGUCUGUUCCGUUGUGCAUCACAGUUGAAAAGAGAAUUGAUAAUCACAAUCAGAAAUCAAUUUGCAAUUCUUAUUUCGAAUGUCAUAUGUCUUUUGAGAUUGAUAAAGAAUUGAAUGGGGACUCAAUGUUGAUGCAUAAAAGUAGACACAUUCAUUGUGAUUCAAUUGAAACUCUUACUGUUGAUGGUGAAAAUGGACCAAGAUUUCAAAAUGAGUAACUUGAAGGGUAUAAAGUUCAUGAUUGGAACAUGAAUGAGACUGCAAUUAAUGAGGAGGAUUAUAGAAUGAAUACUAACCCUACUAGUGAUAUGCAAGUGACCCAAAUUGGCUCAUUCAGAACUUGUUCAGCUCAGAGUGCAGAAAUCUUGACCAUGAUUGAUACAAGUGAUGGGUUCAUACAUGACAAUCCCACUAUAAUUGAAGAUGUAGCAAAUGAAAGACAAAACAUGAUGCAACAACCUAUAGUUAGUGGAAUUAGUGAUGACCAUCUAGAAGAACACCAAAUUUACUCAAGUAAGAAAGAAUUAUAAAGGAAGUUGUAUAUGAUGGCUCUGAAAAGGAAGUUUGAGUUCAAAACAACUAAAUCCACUACUAAGUUAUUGCUUGUUGAAUGUUUUGAUAAAGAAUGCAAGUGGCGAGUUCGUGCUACCAAGUUGGGGAUUUCCAAUAUGUUUCAAAUAAUGAAAUUCUAUUCAACACACACUUGUCAGUUAGAUAUGAUGUCUUGUGACAAUCGACAUGCAAGUAGUUGGUUGAUUGGUGAGAGUAUAAGAGAAACAUAUCAAGGGGUUGGUUGUGAAUUUCAACCAAAAGACAUUGUAGCAGACAUUCGAAAGCAGUAUGGCAUUCAAAUCAGUUAUGAUAAGGCGUGGAGAGCCAAAGAACUUGCUCUAGGUUCUAUUAGGGGAUCACCUGAGGAGUCUUAUAAGACUUUACCAUCCUAUUGCUACAUUUUAGAGCAAAAAAUUCCUGGUACCAUUACUGAUAUAGUUACUGAUAGUGAUAAUCAAUUCAAAUACUUUUUUAUGUCGAUUGGUGCAUCUCUUGCUGGGUUUCAUACAUCAAUAAGGCCUGUGGUUGCAAUUGAUAGGACAUUUUUGAAAGCAAAGUACUUAGGGACUUUAUUUAUUGCACCGUGUAAAGAUGGCAACAAUCAGAUAUACCCUUUAGCCUUUGGGAUUGGUGAUUCAGAAAAUGAUGCCUCAUGGGAGUGGUUUUUACAAAAACUACAUGAUGCACUUGGACACAUUGAUGAUUUGUUUGUAAUAUCAUAUCGACAUGGUAGCAUUGAGAAAGCAGUACAUAAAGUAUUUCCCCAUGCGAGGCAUGGUGUCUACACUUAUCACGUUGGACAAAAUUUGAAGACAAAGUUCAAGAAUCCUGCAAUUCAUAAGUUGUUCCAUGAUGCUGCUCAUGCUUAUCGUGUUUCAGAGUUAAUUUUAUAUUUGGGCAACUAGAGAUGAUUGACCCAAGAGCAGCAAGAUAUUUGAUGGAUAUAGGUAUUGAUCGAUGGGCACGUUCAUAUUCUACCGGAAAAAGAUAUAAUAUCAUGACGACAGGGAUCGUUGAAAGCCUUAAUGCUGUGUUGAAAAAUGCUAGAGAUCUUCCGGUUUUGCAAUUGGUUGAAGAAUUGAGAAACUUACUUCAAAAAUGGUUUGUGACUCGUCAACAAUAAGCAAUGUCAAUGUCAACUGAACUUACCAUGUGGGCUGAUGGAGAACUUUGUUUUAGGUAUAAUAUGUCAGCAACAUAUCUAGUAGAACCUAUCAACUCCAAGGAGUGUAAUGUUAACUAUGUUGGCAUUAGUGCUCAAGUGAAUUUAGACACUCGUUCAUGCACAUGUCGUCAAUUUGAUCUUGAUCAUAUUCCAUGUGCACAUGCUAUUGCUGCUUGUAGAUUUUACAACAUUUCAUGUUACACUUUGUGCUCUAAGUAUUUUACUACUAAAGCAUUGUUAUCUUCAUAUUCAGAGUGUAUUUAUCCAAAUGGAAAUGAAAUAGAUUGGGUAGUACCUAAUCAUAUUCGUGACAAAGUUGUGUUACCACCUAAAACGAGACGCCCAACAGGAAGACCAAGGAAAGUAAGAAUUCUUUCUGGUGGAGAGGGUAAGCGCACAUCUCGUUGUAGUCGAUGUGGUCAAUAUGGGCAUAAUCGGAAAACAUGCAAACGACCAAUCCCUUGAUAUCAUGAUAGCUUUGGCACUCUAUGAACUUACAUGGAAUGAAAAUUGCAAUAGUGAGCUUUUUUUUUUUUUGGUACCCAUGUGAACAGAAAUAUAAGUUACUUUUUUGUAUAAGGUGAUAGGAUAAGCACAUAGAUGAAUAUUGUAAUAAUGAUCCCCUUUUUUUGCAUACCCAUAGAAAUAGAGAUAUUUGUUACUUUUGUACAUAUAUGUUAUGAUGAGUUAUGUAUAAAGUAUGAAUGAAAAUUACAUGUUUAUUCUCAAACUAUGGACUCAACUGUUCUCACGUUUAUUGAUAAGCAACUUGACAAUAGUUAAGUUCAGGUUUUGUCUGAAGACUGUAGACUUAACUACCUUUAAGUUUGUACAUAAAACAACUUGACAAUGGUUAAGUUCAGGUUUUUGUCUAAAGACCGUUGACCUAACUGCCUUCAAGUUGGUACAUAAAACAACUUGACAAUAGUUAAGUUCAAGUUUUGUCUAAAGACUGUGGACUUAACUACCUUCAAGUUUAUACAUAAAACAACUUGACAAUAGUUAAGUUCAGGUUUUGUCUGAAGACUGUGAACUUAACUACCUUCAAGUUUGUUCAUAAAAUAACUUGACAAUAGUUAAGUUCAGGUUUUGUCUGAAGACUGUGGACUUAUCAAGUUUGUUCAUAAAAUAACUUAACAAUAGUUAAGUUCAGGUAAAAAUGGCAAUUGUAGACACAACUUCCUAUGAGUCUAUAGAAGAUCAACUUGAUACCUGUUAAGUCUAGAUUAAAUAUGUUAUUUUGGAAUAGAUUUCGACUUAAUAUCUGUCAAGUUUGUUCACAGUUAACUUGAUAGUAGUUAAGUUCAUGUGUUCUAUUAAGACUGUGGACUUAACUACCUUCAAGUUUGUAAACAUAACAACUUGACAACAUUGAAGUUUAGUUUAAAAGGUCAAUUGUAUACAUAAUUAUCGAACAACAUUCAUCAAAAUAUCCAAGUAGAUAUAUCAACCUAUCCAACUACAUUUAUCAAAAUGUCUAACUACAUAUAUGAAGUUAUCCAAUUACAUAUAACAAACCAUCCAACUACAUUAUCAAAAAUGUGAAAUAUCAACAUGAAUUCAUUACAUAGGCAAGUAUUUCAUAUAAAAUAACUCUGCUGCCAUCUUUUCCCAAAAACAGUCCAUUCGUGCACUUGUUAAUGACUUCAAUGUAUGGUUAUGCAUUAAGUAUUCAACAUAUUUCAUAACAAACAUGCCACAAUCACCACUGCAUGGUACACAGAUAAUUAAUGUUAGGGCUAUUAUUAAAAAUUAAGUGCAUAAGUUAUGAAAGUAAAUUUAAGAUCACUUACUCAUUUUCCUGUUGAGGAAUAUCUUGCAGCCGUUCAAUUUCCCAUUCCUGGUAGUUAACUUUUGUGUCACCAUGAAAACCAUAAUAUGCUAUUGCAUUCAAUAUAUGCGGCAACAAUUUAGCUAAUGCUUUAAUGGCAACUUGCAAUCUUGCAUUAUUAUUGAUGCCCAUCAAUGAGUCAUAUACGUAUAUAAUCCUUCGAUGAAGGUAGACAACUCCUAAUACCCAGUGACUAGCCCGAACAUUGAUAGGGACAUACACAAUGUCAACAUCAGGCCAUUUGAUAGAAUAAAGAGGCUGCAAACCAUUGGCAUAAUUAAUAAGGAUGUCAUUCUCUGGUAAUUUGAAUUGGUUCCACUUCUUGCCAUGCUUAAUCCAUCUUACUUGAGCAUUUUGCUACAUAGAAUAAAGUUAACAUACAUAAAUAAAUAACCAAGAUCAUAAGAUUCAUUAUUACAAAAAAAUUAAAAAUGAUAACUAAAAUUCAAACUACACAUACCCAAAACAUAGUAUCCACUGUGGUAAACUUUUGGGAAAAAAGAUGAGGAUUUUCUAUUUGCUGUUUCCGGAAAAAGAAGAAGGCAACAUCAAUGUGCUAACAAUUACAAUAAAGUAAGUUAGUCAUAUUAUUUGGUUGUAAGCUGAACAUAAUAAUAAAUAAAAAUAAAAACAAAAUGCAUCAUUUACAAACCGUGUCAGCAAGCCAUGAACCAUGAUUAGACAAUGAUUGAAACCAUUUUUUAUCUAUAUGCAUGUAGUCAAUGUCAAUUGUGGACCUUUGACAUAAAAAAUAAAAUAAAAACAUUAGUAAUUUUAUAACUUGUGAAGAACACAAAUUUACAAGUAUGGAUGUAUACAACUUACCCUUGGUCAUGACUCAUCCACUUUUGAAAGGACUCUAAUGCUUCUUCAGAGAUUGGACGCAAAGGAUCAAAUGAAGUUAAUGGUUUCUCAAUUUCCUUUCUUAGUUUCUUUCUCUUGGUGGGAUCUGUAAAAGGGUGCUGCAAGAUACGAGACUUUUUAAUCUCACGCCUUCGCUUAAAAAUGGCAGGAGAUAGAUGGUGAGGUAUGACAUAUACUGAAAACUCGCCCGACAUAGUUGGGGUACCAAACAACUUGGCAAUAUCAAUAACUGGAUCAUCAAUAGAGUAGUCAUCUUUCAACUCUUUAGUCAUGUGUUUUUCUGCAAGCUGAAGGUUUCUAGAAGCUUCCAUAUCAAUGUUCACAUCCAUGGGAAUGUCAUUCCUCUCCACUUCAUCAUCUGUAACAUCCUCAAAAAUUCCAAUUUGGAAAUCAAAGCCCAUAUUGUUAUCAUUUUCUUUUGUACUAGAUUUUCUGAAUCUAGUGUCAUGCAUACCAUGUUCCUCAUUCGAACUCUUAACCUAAAAUUGCAUACACCACCCAAUAAUAAUAAAUAUGAGAAAACACAAAUGUCAAAACAUUGAAGUAUUAGAAAAUUUUAACAAGUAAACAUGUCACUAACUUCUAAUAAAAGUUGCUUCAAUUCAUCCAUCUUCAAGUUGAGUCCUUCAAUUUCUUUCUUUAGAUGAUUGAAAUUUAACUCUGAGCUUUGUUUGAAUUUCACAAACUCCAUCCAUAAUUUCUGCACAUAUUGCACAUAAAUGAAAUAAAAAUUUAACACUUACAAUAUUUAUAUAUAUAUAUUAUGACAAGUUUGUUCACUUUGAAAUAACACACUUGUUAAAUUUAGGUUUUUUCAUGAUCCCUACAAACUUAACUUCCUAUAAGUUUAUUUAUAGUUAAGGUCAGGUUCCACAUGUUAAUUAUGGAAUGAACAUCUUAUAUUAAAUAAAGUACCAAAAAAAAAAAAAAAAACAUGCAUGCAUUAUUUAUGAUGGCUAAGUUUAGGUUAAGUUACCUCUAUUGAUGGGGCGACUGCAUCAUUUGUUGUUUCUUCUGCCAUUGCAACAGUAGCAGCAGCAACAUAUGCAGCAGUGUCAAAUGAGCUUUUUUCAUGCCUUAAGUCAUCCUUCUUGGCAUCUUGUGAGGCAUUUGAUUGGUGCAACAUUUCUGCUAAAGCUCCUUAUUUAUCUACAUGCUUGUAAUAGUCUUGUUGUUGCUCCUCUAAAGUGGGUGUUAGAAGCGAAUGAAAAGUUAACUACAAAGUCCAAAUCAAAUAUAAUUAUUAAUAAACAACAAUACAAUAAUAUUUAUAAUUGCAUUCUUAAAAUUUAAAGGUAAAGAAUUACUUACAUGAGGCUCUAGAAAUACAUUUUCAACCUCAGUAGACCUUGGAGCACUUGUUGCACUCCAAUUUAAUAUUCGAGGAUAGCUCUCAGAUACACGAGUGGCAUAUUUCAAUCCAAUAAGUGGAAUAGCCUCGUAUGCCCAAACCUGGAAUGCAUAUGGAAAUCCAACAAGACUAUAUGCUUCAACUGCAGCUUCUCCCUUUGCUUUCUUUUUAUCUUGGUAUUUGGAUACCCGGUUCUCCAAAGCUCUUUGCAAACCAAAUAGUGUCCUCUCAUAACAAAUCCCCCCCCCCCCAUGGAUACUUGUUAAAAGCCUCCAAAUUAUCAACCAAAGCAACCCAUUCCAUAUCUAUCAAAUUUUUUCCUUCUUUCCCAAAUAAAACAUGCUCUAAAAAAUACAAAAGUGCCAACUUUAUCACCUCUUCAUCUUCAAAUCCUUUUUUUUUAUUUUUCUUAUUCUUUUUCUUUUUCUUUUCCUCUCCUAAAGAAAGAAAAACUUUCUCCAACUCAUCAUUACGCAGCUUGUUUUCUCCUUUAAAGUAUGUGUCCCUUAUUCGUAAUGAUUUUUUAUCACAUUUUGUAAUAGGACCAAAACUCAAGCCCGUANNNNNNNNNNNNNNNNNNNNNNNNNNNNNNNNNNNNNNNNNNNNNNNNNNNNNNNNNNNNNNNNNNNNNNNNNNNNNNNNNNNNNNNNNNNNNNNNNNNNCCCUUGGUUUUUUUUUUUUUCGGGGUUUGGGAACCCCGGUUUCCAAAAACCUUUUAAAAAAAAAAAAGGUUCCUUUUUAAAAAAACCCCCCCCCCCCCCCCCCCCCCCAUGGAUACUUGUUAAAAGCCUCCAAAUUAUCAACCAAAGCAACCCAUUCCAUAUCUAUUAAGUUUUUUCCUUCUUUCCCAAAUAAAACAUGCUCUAAAAAUACAAAAGUGCCAACUUUAUCACCUCUUCAUCUUCAAAUUCCUUUUUUUUCUUUUUCUUUUUCUUUUCCUCUCCUAAAGAAAGAAAAACUUUCUCUAACUCAUCAUUACGCACCUUGUUUUCUCCUUUAAAGUAUGUGUCCCUUAUUCGUAAUGAUUUUUUAUCACAUUUUGUAAUAGGACCAAAACUCAAGCCCGUAACCAAUGCAAACUCUUCUUUACUAAAUCUUAAGCCCUUUGACUUUAAUAAAAUCCAUAUUUCAUUGUCUUUUUUGGUUUCACAUUGACGUAACAACAAUUGAUGAACAAUUUGGGCUGAAAAUCUAAGUUCGGGAAGGAGUAAAAAAUGACCAAAACAUGAUUUUCUAAACAUCUCCAAUUGUGGUUCAGUCAAUUUCUUCUUAAUAUUUUCAAUGGCUACCAAGUGAGGCAAACAUGCAAUUUUUCUAGGAAAGUACUCCUCUUUAGAUAUUUUAGAUAUAAAAGAUAAGAGAGGAGGCGGAAUGUCAAUCUGCAAGAUAAUAACAAAUUGUAAAAAUAUCAAUAUAAAUUGAGCAAAAUUAUAUUACCAAACUUAUCCAACUAUGUUAAAUCCAUCAUUUUGUAUUACUUCUUAACAUAGACUUUAUUUUCCUAUUAUUUAAGGAUGUCAUGUCAAAUGCUAAUAUUCUAAAGAUAUUAUUUUACUAAUGCAAUUGAAGCUAUUAUAUUUUACUAAGUUGCAGCUACAAAAAAUUGGAGACAUUAUUCUAGUGUUUAUUGAAAUUUGAAACAAAACAAAACCAUUUUGAAAUUGCAACCUGUUGACAAUGAACUUGAUAGCAGUUAAGUUCAGUUUUUUCUUAACAUAUAUAUUUAAAUCAAAAUUCUAAAUGUUUGGAUAAAAUAAUUUCAUAAAAAUUAUAUUCAAAUACGUUAUAAAUUCAUAACAAAUAACUUCAUUACACAAAAUUUCAAAACCUUUUGAUGGUAAACUUGAUAGUAGUUAAGUUUAGUUUUUUCUAAUCAUUCAAAUAUUGCUUUAAACCUUGGACUAUAACCUCACUGAGAAAAUUUCCAACAAUUAGAUUAUCAAUUCAUGAAAAAUAAAUUCAUAAAAAAAAAAUCUAUUAAAAAUGAUAAAAUUAAAAAAAAUUAAAAAUAUAAAUUUCAAGUAGAAAAUUAAUGCUUACCGAAUCAGUUGAUUUCUUCUCAUUUUCUGAUGACGAUGACGAGGUUUCAAAACCUGGCUUUCUUUCACUUCUCUUUUUUCCCAAAAUUUUAUACCUCUUCUGUUUCGUAUUUUUCAUCGCCGAAUUUUUUUCUUCCUCAAUUUUCAUGAACUGAAUCAACACACAAUAUCAGAAAGAUGAAAAAUAGGGUUUUAUUAAAAAAAAUAAUAAGAAUCAAAAUAAAACACUUAGGGUUUCUUCUCAUUUCAUGGAUGAAGAUUCAUAUAUACAGUUCGAAAAACUAAGAUCAAAGAAUGAAAUAGUGAAACUUACUUUCUGUUUUUUCUUUGUAUUGUGUUGUCUUUUUGUUCUCUUGCAAUAAAAGGAAAAAUCCUUCGUGAUUUCUUUCUCGCAGGUUAACAGAUGGAACAAAUGGGUUUGCAGGGUAAGGAAGAGACACAACACAAGAGAAAAUUAGAGUUGGAGGGAAAAAGGGCUGAAAAGAUAAUUGAGGGGGUAUUUUUGUCCGAAUUGGGUCAUUUUUGAGACUUAAAUAAUUAAAGGGUUAGUUUUGCAAUAUUGAGGGAUUUUUGUCCCUUUUAAUCCGUUAUCCCUAAAGAAAAAGUGAAAAAUUUUAAAAACAAAGGUGAAAUGGUAGAAUAAAAAAAAAAAGAUUGAAAAGGCAUAUACUCGUUGAGUGUUUUCCAAUUUGUAAGAGAAGGGUAGGAGUAGGACCUUUUUUUGGUAGAGAACCAUUAUUGUAGACAGCAAUAAAGCAAUUUGAUUGAUUGUUGGAUAGAGGCAGCCACGCGGAAUGUCCCUUUCAGCGAUAAAGCAAUACGCAGGCUGCAUUGUACAUUUUUAUAUUUUGAUGAAGAUGGUGAUAUUUUGAUUGUAUAAGGGUGAAAAAGUAAUUAAGCACAAGUUCUGUGAGUGUAGAGCCAACCUCACACUUCUCAGCACCAAUUGCAUCUCUCACUUCUGCCUUCGGCUGUAUUUUGCAGAGUUGUUGAUUCCUUGGUUUCCAAAGAAAACAUGAUUGUAGUUGAGGCGUUUCUGUCUUCCUUGUUUGAGGUGGUGCUGGACAAGCUGGUGGUCACCCCUUUGUUAGAGUAUGCACGGCGGCUGAAAGUCGACACAACACCACUCCAGGACUGGAAGACGACUUUGUUGCAAAUCAAAUCAGUGCUGCAUGAUGCUGAGCAGAAACAGAUUCAGGAUGAUGCGGUGAUGGGGUGGUUGGAUGAUCUCAAAGCUUUAGCUUGCGACAUUGAAGAUGUCCUGGACGAAAUUGACACCGAAGCUAAGCGAUGCAGUUUGGUACAAGGACCUCAAACCAGCAACAGCAAGGUACGGAAGCUCAUCCCUUCUUUUCAUCAUAGCAGUUUCAAUAAGAAGAUUUGUAAAAAGAUGAAGACAAUCACCAAGGAGUUAGAUGCUAUUGUAAAGCAAAAGACUGUCCUUGGUUUGAGAGAGGUUUUUGGAGAGGGGCCAUCGGACCACAGGAGAGACCGUCAUGAAGGGGUGUCAUCUGUCAAUCAAGAAAGGCGGACUACUUGUCUUGUAACAGAGUCUGAGGUUUAUGGUAGGGGGGCCGAUAAGGAGAAGAUCAUGGAGUUAUUGCUAUCAGAUGAAGUAGGUACUGCUCGUGAAGUUCAGGUGAUUCCAAUUGUUGGUAUGGGUGGGGUUGGAAAAACAACCCUUGCUCAGAUUAUCUAUAACGACAAGAGGGUGGAGAAAAAUUUCCAAAUCCGUGGCUGGGCAUACGUAUCUGAUCAGUUUCAUUCAGUAAAAGUAACCCAACAAAUUUUAGAGUCUGUCUCCGGUCGUUCAUCUGAUUCUGACGACUUACAGUUGCUACAACAGAGUUUGCAGAAAAAGUUGAAACGAAAAAGGUUUUUCCUUGUAUUGGAUGAUAUAUGGAUCGAGAACCCCAAUACCUGGAGUGAUUUACAAGCUCCACUAAAAGACGGAGCAGCAGGCAGUGUCAUCAUGGUAACCACUCGUUCUAAAAGUGUUGCAUCCAUCAUGUGCACUACUCCUAUUCAGCCUCUUAGUGAACUUUCUGAGGAAGAUUGCAGGUCACUAUUUGCACAUAUUGCCUUUGUAAACAUAACUCCAGAUGCGCGCCAAAACUUGGAACCUAUUGGCAGAAAAAUAAUAACCAAAUGCAAAGGUUUGCCUUUGGCUGUAAAGACAUUGGCAGGUCUGUUGCGUUGUAAUCAAGACGACAAGGCUUGGAAGAAGAUGCUGAAUGACGAAAUAUGGGAUUUACCGCCUCAGAAGAGUAGCAUUCUUCCAGCUCUUCGCUUGAGCUACCAUUAUCUCCCCUCUAAAUUGAAGCAAUGCUUUGCAUAUUGCUCCAUCUUUCCCAAGAAUUAUGAGUUUAACAAGGAGGAGUUAAUUUUAUUAUGGGUGGCACAAGGUUUUUUGGGUGGCUUAAAAAGAGGGGAGACAAUAAAAGAUGUUGGCCAAACAUGUUUUGAUGACCUAUUAUCAAGGUCGUUCUUUCAACAAUCUGGUGGGAAUAAUUCAUUGUUUGUGAUGCAUGAUUUGAUUCAUGAUGUGGCGCGAUUUGUAUCUAGAAAUUUUUGUUUAAGAUUGGACGUUGAAAAGCAAGACAAUAUUUCAGAGAGGACUCGACAUAUAUCAUACAUUCGUGAGGAAUUCGAUGUCUCCAAGAGAUUUGAUGCCCUUCGUAAAACUAAUAAGUUACGAACGUUCCUACCAUCAAGUAUGCCUCGUUAUGUUUCAACUUGCUACUUUGCUGAUAAAGUCUUAUGUGAUCUAUUGCCAAAAUUAGUAUGUUUGCGGGUUUUAUCCUUGUCUCACUAUAAUAUCACUCAUUUGCCUGAUUCAUUUGGGAAUUUAAAACAUUUACGCUAUUUGAACCUUUCUAACACCAGGGUACAAAAGUUACCUAAAUCAAUAGGUAUGCUUUUGAAUUUGCAAUCACUGGUGUUGUCAAAUUGUCGUGGGCUUACCGAGUUGCCAAUUGAAAUUGUAAAACUCAUCAACUUGCUUCAUUUGGAUAUUUCUAGAACAAAUAUACAACAGAUGCCACCAGGAAUUAACAGACUAAAAGAUCUUCAGAGAUUGACCACUUUUGUUGUUGGUGAGCAUGGUUGCGCAAGAGUUAAGGAGUUAGGAGACCUUUCACACCUACAAGGAUCACUCUCCAUUUUAAACUUGCAGAAUGUACCGGUGAAUGGUAACGAUGCUUUAGAGGCUAAUUUGAAGGAAAAGGAAGACCUCGAUGCCUUGGUGUUUACAUGGGAUCCGAAUGCAAUUAAUAGUGAUUUGGAGAAUCAAACCAGAGUUCUCGAAAACCUUCAACCUCAUAACAAGGUGAAAAGGUUGAGCAUUGAAUGCUUCUAUGGUGCAAAAUUUCCAAUUUGGUUAGGAAAUCCUUCAUUCAUGAAUUUAGUUUUCUUACGACUUAAAGAUUGUAAAAGUUGCUCAUCCUUGCCACCACUGGGGCAGUUACGGUCUCUCAAGGAUCUCUAUAUUGUGAAGAUGGAUAGAGUACAGAAGGUUGGUGCAGAGUUGUAUGGGAAUAAUGGUUGUGGUUCAUCUUCAAUUAAGCCAUUUGGAUCUUUAGCGAUUCUGUGGUUUCAAGAGAUGUUAGAGUGGGAGGAAUGGGUGUGUUCUGAAGUUGAGUUCCCUUGUCUAAAGGAGCUUCAUAUUGUAAAAUGUCCAAAGCUGAAAGGGGAUAUACCUAAGUACCUUCCUCAACUAACAGAUCUUGAGAUUAGUGAAUGUUGGCAGUUGGUGUGUUGUCUUCCAAUAGCUCCCUCCAUUUGUGAAUUGAUGUUGAAUAAAUGUGAUGAUGUGAUGGUUAGAAGUGUGGGCAGCCUUACUUCACUAACUUCCUUGGGUCUAAGUGAUGUAUGUAAAAUACCAGUUGAAUUGGGACUACUACAUUCUCUUGGAGAGUUGUCUGUGUAUGGUUGUUCAGAGCUAGAGGAAUUGCCAACUAUUCUUCACAACCUGACUUCUCUUAAACACUUGGAAAUAUACCCAGAUGACAGUCUUUCGUCUUUUACGGAUAUUGGGCUGCCACCCGUGCUUGAAACCCUUGGAAUUGGACGCUGGCCCUUUCUGGAGUACCUACCAGAGGGAAUGAUGCAAAAUAAUACUACUCUCCAACACUUGCAUAUCUUAGAGUGUGGUUCUCUGAGGUCCUUGCCGGGGGACAUUAUUAGUUCAUUGAAAAGCCUUUUUAUCGAGGGUUGUAAGAAAUUGGAGUUACCAGUGCCUGAGGAUAUGACGCACAACUACUACGCUUCCCUUGCGCAUUUAGUAAUAGAAGAGAGUUGUGAUUCUUUCACGCCCUUUCCAUUAGCCUUCUUCACAAAGCUUGAGAUUCUUUAUAUCCGAAGUCAUGAAAAUCUGGAGUCCCUUUACAUUCCAGAUGGACCUCACCAUGUGGAUCUCACAUCUCUUCAGGUCAUCUACAUCGACAAUUGCCCUAAUCUGGUAGCUUUUCCACAAGGAGGAUUGCCUACUCCUAACCUCAGAUAUCUUACAAUAAUCAAGUGCGAGAAGCUCAAGUCCCUACCCCAAGGGAUGCAAACCCUCCUUACAUCCCUUGAACAAUUGACUGUAUGCUAUUGUCCAGAAAUUGAUUCAUUUCCAGAAGGGGGUUUGCCCUCCAAUCUAUCUUCGCUUUAUAUAUGGGAUUGCUACAAACUCAUGGCCUGUGAGAUGAAGCAAGGCUUACAAACGCUUUCCUUUCUUACAUGGCUCUCUGUUAAAGGAUCUAAAGAAGAGAGAUUGGAGUCAUUUCCAGAGGAGUGGCUACUGCCCUCCACUCUUCCCUCUCUUGAAAUUGGCUGUUUUCCAAAACUCAAAUCCUUGGAUAAUAUGGGGCUUCAACACCUCACGUCUCUUGAAAGAUUGACGAUAGAGGAGUGUAAUGAGCUCGAUUCUUUUCCGAAACAGGGGCUGCCCUCUUCCCUUUCUCGUCUUUAUAUUAGAAAGUGUCCUCGGCUAAAGAUAGAGUGCCAAAGAGAUAAAGGGAAAGAAUGGCCCAAGAUUUCUCGCAUCCCCUGCAUAGUAUUAGAAAGACGUGAUGUGAAAGAUGAGGAGGUGAUCUUGGCAUGAGGCCCUUGCAUCCAAGCACAUGCUUUUCUCUACCAUUACUCAUUCAGGUACUUUCUACUUUUAUUUUUUCAUUUUUUAUUUUUUGUGUACUUCAAUUUUAUUUUAUUUUUAUUAUGUUUUCUAUUCUAUUUUUAGAAAUAUUAUUUAAGAGAUGUCAAUUAUACAAAAAAAAAAAAAACCAAAAACAAAAAAGAUUUUUUUAAUGAUUUUUCAAUAAUUUUUUAGUGACUGUUUUAUGUUGAAAAAAGAGGCAUAUAUAUUAUUAAUUAAAAUUUUAAAAUUUUUUUGCUAUUGAAUUUUAAAACAAAAAUGAAAGUAACAAGUACUAUUGAUUUAGAAAAACAAAUAGAUUCUGGUUGGAUGUGGUUUUUAUUAUCAAAAUUUUGAAAUAAAAAGCAAAAUUAUCCCCAAAACAUAUUUUUGAAAUUGUUUUUGAGUAAAAAUUUUAAAAAUCAAAAUAAAAAAACAAAUGUGCAACCAAAUAUAUUCCUUUUUUUUUUUUUUAUGUUUUCUAGAUUUUAUUAUUUGAUCAACAACCCUUUUGUUUGACUAUGAGUUUAUGGCCUAAAUCUUUUAGUGUUAGAUUCUUCAAAUAUCAGAAGUAAUUCUCCAAGAAUAUAUGUUGUAUGCCAUUGUUAGGAAAUGAAGCAAAUCAUUAGUAUGUUUUUAAUUCCCUUUGAACUUAAAAGCUUUAAAACUAUAGCAUUCUGCAUAAAUUGUGGCAACAUAUUCAUCGAAAGCUUUUACUAUCAUGAACUCUAUGCAAGUUUGUUUUUUUUUUUUUUUCUUUUAAUGCGAUUUUCUAGACAAAAGGUUGGAGGGACAAAUAUCAUUUUCUUAGUAGUUUGAUGUCAUGUGUAAGUAUGGAUAAACAAUUAGCUCCUUUCUAAUUCUAUUUAUCCCAUUUCUGUAAUGAUAUUUUAGGGACUAUUAAACUGCUCAUGUCAUGAAGAAAAUUUCAUUCUUGAGUGCCUACUGUCAUGUUGUUGAUAGAGGAGGUUUUUCACCAAAAGAUUCCAUUUAUUUGAUAUCAUUAUUUAUUUUGUGCAAGUAUGCUUAAAAGGAGGGAAGAAAUGGAAAGAUCGACUCGGGAAAGCCUGAGUAGACAAAUCAUCCUUUCAUAAAUAUUACAAUUCAGAUCUUUGGAAUGGUUAGAAGUAAUGAAGGUUUGAACAAAAUAUAUUUGUAGCUACAGAGUAGUCUAUCUUUACAUAGGUACAAAUUAUUCCACAGUUCUACCUUCUCAAAGUGUUAUUAUUAUUUUUUCUUUCUUACAGCAAUAAUCAUUUAUAUGAGUUUCAACUGAAGGUAACUUGAUUUAUAUUUCAUCUCAGGAAUAAGGAAAAACCAUGGAUUUCAAAUACUCUGAAUUUAAUAGUUAUCAGUAGAUAAUGCAUGGACUUUCCUUCAGAACUAUGGAGGUAACGUCUCCUAGAAUUAUAAUUGUUUACUUCAUUUUCCUUUCCAUGCUUUUGCUGAUGAUUUCGCCUUUCAAAUGGGCUUUUUAACUUUUCCCGUCUUGCAUGGCACUCAGGUAUGUUGUUUGGUUUGGAAAGAGCUCAGGCAUGGUAGAGGGAUUCCCUUCUUGGUUCGUGGGCUCAUUAAAUGAUAUGUAACUAGAUGAGAUAAUCAUCUAUCAUGACAUUAAUUCUUAUAUAUAUGUUUUUUAAAUUAUCUACAGGUUGAUGUUGGAUAGAUUUUGAAUUUGACCAAAAAUGUUCAAAGGUGUGGUCUCUGAUUCAGGCCACUAAAUGAGUUGUUAACAAAAACAGUAUCUUGGAAAGUAAAGAUUCAUGCUAACUUUCAAACUUAAUUGUUGUUCACAUCAAACUGGAGAUAAGAGUUUGCUCAUUGAAUUUUAAUGUUGCUGGCUUCUGGUGAAAGAGCAAUGUUUUUGGCUAGCAAAAAGGCUUUACUACUAUAGUUGUUCUGCUUUGCUGGAGUUUUAUGUCAGACUACAUGCUGCAAGGGACGAAAACACUCCUCACACCCCUCUAACAAUCCCAGACAGAGUUACCAUGAUAAGGUAGGGAAGUCCGAAUUUGGUACUUAAAUCAAUAGGUAGAUAUUUUAUAGAUAUAGAUGGAAAAGGUUUGCCUAUUUCUAGUUCACAAAGUUUAAACAUCUUCUCUUUCUUGUCCUUUGUUUCAUACGCUCUACAAAUGUUCAUUGCAUUUUAAUGAAAAUAUUUUGAUAUUGCAGCUAUUAAAACCUAUGUCCAUCUUCAUGCUAUGCAGCUUCCUCUAUGGCAUCACUGAAUAAUUUGUAAGAAGUAUUUUUGUUGUAUAAUAAGAUGAUUCUUUUACAACUCAUCACCAUGGUUCUUAGCAAGCAACUAUGUCUUUUAUUAUGAUAUUGAUUCUGUUUUGCUUGAUCAAUAUGUAUGCUGCAAUGGGACUAGGACAUCAUCCAUGUGCCUUUGGAAAGUUGACAUUAAAUUCUGAGGCUGUAAACUUUGGGAAUUUCAAAGCAAAACCAAUUUACUGAUGCAGAAUUGAGUGACUUAUUGUUUGUUUUGGUUUUGAGUUGUCAACAAAUUUUCAACAUGUGACUCUGUUUGUGGAUGCUCAUUUCUAGGUUCUUUUGGUACUUGAAUGGAGCUGGUAGUUGGAAGUUGAUGUCAAAUCACCAAGACCCAAAAAUAUAUGGAUGCUAUACGCAUUGUAUAGUCUUUUCACUUCUCCCCUGUCUUGCAUGGCACUUGGGUAUGCUCUUUUGCAUGGGAGAGCUUAGGCAUGGUAGAAAAGCUCUCUCCUUGUUAGUGGGUUCAUUAACUGACUUAUAACUAUAAGAAAUAAAAAUAUAAGAUAAAUCAUGCAUCAUAUUCAUAUCUUUCCAAAAUUAUCUGCAGGUGGAAGUUGGACAGAUUUCUGCUGCCUUCCUAAGUUCUGUGAACAAGACACAUCUUUUAGAUUUGGAAAGGCAAAUCCCUACUCUCCAACCCUAUGAACAAAACUAAUUGUGUUAGGAUUAACAGAAAAUGUUCAGGGAUGGGAUCUUUGAUUAUGUGAAAGACAGAGUGUGCUCUGAACAAAAAAAAGAAUCUUUGGAAGGUACAUAUUCAUGUCAGCUUUCGAACUUCUAGUGGUUCACUUCGAAAUCAAGCAUUGAUUUUGUUCACGGACAAGUUAAUUGCAUUUCAAUAUUGUAGGCUUCUGGUGUAAAUACAAAUUUCUUGGGUGUCAAAUAAGCUUUGCUGCUUUAAUUGAUCUAUGUCUCUGGAGUUUCAUGCCUGACUUUGUGUGGCAGGGGACCAAAACAUUCUUCCUGCCCUUUGAAGAAGCCCAAACAGAGUUACCCUGAUCAGGUAGGGAAAUUGGAGUUUUGAAUUGGGUUGCCAACUCUGUUAUGCAACAUAAAAACCUCUCCUUUUCAAAUCUGCUAUACCUCCUUAGGUUGUUAAGAUGCUUUUUGUGUGGCGCAUAUUUACAGGAUGUGAAUGAGUGAAGACUUUGGUCCUGAAAGUGUUGCAAAUGUGGUGAAGAAUCACUAACACUCUAAUUUGGUGGGAUAUAGAUUUCUAAGCGACCUUUGUAAACAAUUUGCUCCUUCCUAAUUCUAAUUAUUCUGUUUCUGUAAUCUUUUGUCAGGGACUAUAAAACCGUUCAUGUCAUGAAGAAUUUUCUAUGCCUGAGUGCAUACUAUCUUGUUAUUGAUAUAGGAGGUUCUCCACCAAAAGACUCCAAAUGGAAAGAUCUACCUGGUAAAGCCUUUGUAGAGAACUUGGUGGCUAUCAGAAAAGUUUUCAGUACUACUAUAGUUGUUCUGUUUUGUUGGGGUUUUGUCAGACCAUGUGCUGUAAGAGAACAAAAACUUUCUCCAACCCCUUUCAGAAGCUUAUACCAAACAUGAACAGUCCCCAUGGCACAGUAAGGUAGGGAAAUGGGAUUGCACCUGUGACCUAUUUCAUACUCAUACUAGCUCUUGCUAAAACCAUUUUCUUUUUCCUCUUCUACAUUCUUAGAUCUUUGAAUCCUUGAUACGUACAUGGAUGCGUAAGUGGAAAUCUGGAGGUCUCAAAGGUGAUGCAAACACGUUGCAGAAUCACUGGUGGAGAUGUGGUGGGAUCAGAACUUGCAAUGCUACCCCUGAAUGUGAAAGAGUAAGGAAUGGCAGCAAAAGCCCUCUCCUUGGUUACCAAGUUCAUGUAUCAAAUCAAGUGGAUGAUGAUCUCACCACCACCCCGGAAGACUUCUUGUUUCACCCAGAACUGUUCGCAUGCCCAGUUCUUCGGUCUCUAAACUGUAAACAUAUGAAAGAUGUUUCCCAAUAUCUGUUGUGCUCAAAAGGCAUCUUAAGCAAGACCUACAAUUUUGCUGCAUAGAAAAUUAACUUGGUGUCAGGUCAAGUAAACAUUAUCUUAGUGAACUUAAUGAUUUUUUAUUUUUUAUUUUUAGUUAUCAUUCUUCAAUUUUAUUAAUCCUUAGCAAAAUUAAAAGAUAUGUGAAUUAGAAAAUUAUUUAAAAAUUCAAAUUCACCAUUGUUUAUAUAGAAGAAGAAAAAAAGUAAAUAUUUUGUUUUUCUUUAUUCUCUCUUUCUUUUUAUUUUUCUUUUAUUUUCUUUUUCUUAUAUUGCCUCUAAAAUGUUCAAAAUUCAAACUUUAAGGUUUCAUCUAAGGCAUGUUUGGUUAGGGGGAAAUUUGAAGGAAAAUGUAAGAGAAAAUAGGAUAAAAAAUGUAGAAAAAUAGAAAAAGUCAAGGAAACUAAAAAAAAUAUAUUUAAAGUUAAUAAUGUAUUUUUUUAUAUUUUUUUGAAUAUAGAGAUUAAAUAAUUUGAAUAUAUAUAAGGUUUUAAUUAUAUUUUAUUUUUCCUUGAUAUUUUUUCUUGUUACAACCAAACAUAAAAUAAAAAAUAAAAAUAAAUAAAUAAAUUAUUUUUCUUAAUAUUUUUGUUUAUUUUUUUUAAUACUUUUUGGACCCAUUUUGAAGCCAUAAAAAAGUAAUAGAAAGAGAAAAAUAAAUUUAGUAAAUACUCUCUUCUCCCUAUUCUUUAAACAAUCUCAUUAAAUAAGAAUUUUGUAGAAGAAAAAGAAAAAUCUAUUUAGAUUUGAAGGUUCCUUUUUCCAUUUUUCUUUUUUUCUUUUUUUUUUUUUUGAAAUCUUUUUUAAAAGCAAAAACCUUUUUCUUUGUGGAAUAUUAAAAUAAAAAAUAAAAAAUGAUGAAAUGCAAAUUUUGGUUACCGUCCAAUUGUUUGUUACAAAUAUUAUAAGAAUUGUAAUCUUGGGUGCUUGGCUGAUGUUAAGUAUCAAGCAUUAUGCUUCAACAAAGUUUGAAUGAUAAUUAAUCUUUUAUUUAAGAGCUAAUUAGUGUAACUCAGUGUAUGAAUAAUUGGAUCUAAUUUUAAAAUCCUUUGUUAAUGAGUUUUGUCUUGGAGUAAUACAAACUUUUAAAAUAUUUUUAAAAAAUAUUAAUAUAAAAAAUAAUUUUAAAAUGAUCCUAUUUUUAAAUUUCAAGUAUAACUGGUUUUUUUUUAAAUGAAUAUAAAAAAAGUGAACUUAUUUUUCAAAAGACGAGUUUAGUAUAAAAAAAUUUUAAGGUAAAAAAGGAAUUUAGUACAAACCGUGAAUUCAUAUUUGAUGAGUUUAAUGUAAAAAUAAUAUAAGUGAUCAAAAGUGUAGUAUUUUUAUAUUCAUUUUUAAAAUAAUUAAUUUUUAAUAAUAAUUUUUUAAAAUAUAAAAAAAAUGAAAAAUGAAGAAAUCCCCUUAUUUAAUGGGAUAAUUGUGUUUUGGAUCCAAAAAUUAAGUUUUGAUCCAUAUAAGUUCACCAUUUCAGUGCAAAACCUAGAGGAAGUACAAAAAUCGAGAAGAAUGCUAUGAAUUUUUUAUUUUUCCAAAAAUGACCUUUAUUGACUAUAAAAAAAUAUAUAUAAAAAUAUUAAUUUAAAUUUUAUUCCUUUUGUAAACCUUAAUAAAAUUUAAUUUAAUUUAGUGAUUUGGAAAAAAAUACACAAUUUUUCAAAAAAAUAAAAAUAAAUUAUUAUUAUUAUUACUUAAAAAUCAAACAUCUUGGAAAAUAUAUAUAUUUAAAAUUGUGUAUGUAAAAAAUAACUAAAACUAUGUUAAAAUUAUUUUUUUUAAAUUAUAUAUUUUUAGAAUAUUUUUUUAUUAAAUAGGUUUCUAAAAAUAAUAAAUUUUCAGAAUUAUUAUUAAAAAAAUUAAGAUAAAAAAAUUUAUCAAAUAUCAUUGAUAAAAAAUAUUCAAAAUAAUUUUGAAGGGAAUAUUUAUCUCUUCAUUUUUUUAUACCAUUCACUUCACUUUUUUUUUUUUUUUUUUUUUCUUUUUGGGGGCAUUUGCUUUGGACGCCAAGUUUUGACAAACUUCCUCAAAUACCCUCCUCUGUUUUCUCAUUCUACCCGUACUGUAAGCACGAGCUUAAGAAUGGGCAAGGGUAAAAAAUUAAUUACAGAUGAAUGAAAUCUUCUCACCUUUACCAAUUUCGUGUUUUUACGUAAGCAGAGGCUUUGAGAAAGCGAAGGGUUUCCCAACAAAAGCUUGAUUUCUUGUGCUCAUUGUAUGUUUCUGAAUUUUUGAAUCCUUCGUUUCCAAGGAAAAAUGGUUGUGGUGGAGGCGUUUCUGUCUUCCUUGUUUGAGGUGGUGCUGGAGAAGCUGGUGGCUGCCCCUUUGUUAGAUUAUGCACGCCGGCUCAAAGUUGACACAGCAGUGCUCCAGGAGUGGAGGAACACUUUGUUGCAUCUCCAAGCAGUGCUGCAUGAUGCUGAGCAGAGGCAGAUUCGGGAGGAAGCAGUGAAGAGGUGGGUGGACGAUCUCAAAGCUUUAGCUUACGACGUUGAAGAUGUCCUGGACGAGUUUGACGCUGAAGCUCAGAAACCCAGUUUGUUACAAGGACCUCAAACCAGCAGCAAGGUAUGGAAGCUUAUCCCCUCUUUUCAUCCUAGCGAUGUGAUCUUCAAUAAGAAAAUUGGCCCAAGGAUAAAGAUAAUCACCCGAGUUAGAUGCUAUUGUAAAAAGAAAGUCUGCUCUUCAUUUGAGACAGGGUGAUGGAGGGGUGUUAUCAGUGACUGAACAAAGGUUGACUACUUCUUUGGUAUGGGUGGGAUUGGUAAAACAAACCUCGCUCAAAUUAUCUAUAACGACAAGAGGGUGCAGGACAAUUUCCAUAUCAGAGUUUGGGAGUGUGUAUCUGAUCAGUUUGAUUUGGUUGGAAUAACGAAAGCAAUUUUAGAGUCGGUCUCUGAACAUUCAUCUCGUAACUCUAAUGCCCUUUAAUCGCUACAAGAUAGUUUGUAGAAAAAGUUGACUGGAAAAAGGUUUUUCCUUGUUUUGGAUGAUAUAUGGAAUGAGGAUCCCAUCAACUGGUUUUUUUUUUUUUUUUAUAAGUAAACACACAGAAAAUAUAUAUUAGCAAAAAGGACACCUUAAGGCUGACCCAAAAGCAUAUAGGAGGUAUACAAGAGGCGCCAAAAAGCAAGAACAAAAAGAAGAGGGGAUACAAAAAAUCACCAGCCCUCAACUAGACCCCAAUCAAUCAAAAAAACUGAUUAAAGGAAGAGGUCCUUAAUUUACAAUCUACUUAGUCCAAAACCAAAUAUUACAUACAAAAGAAUUUUUCAACCUAUGAAUCGAAAGCUCCUCGUUUUCAAAUGCAAUCAUAUUUCUUUCCUUCCCAAAAAAGACACAAAGGGGCUGUCAUCCACACCUUACUACACUUCUUGCCCAUGUUAAUACCACACCAACCAAGAAGGGUAUUUCUAACCGAAUAAGGAAGGACCCAAACUACGCCAAAAAGAGCAAACAAUAACUCCCAUAAAACUCUUGCCUUGGUGCAAUGAAUUAGAAUAUGAUCAAUAGACUCUUCUUCCGCACAACAAAGGAAGCAUCUAUUAGCUAAAGUCCACCCCCUCUUUUUAAGUUCAUCCCAUCAACUGGUGUACCUUACAAGCUCCUUUUAGAGAUGGAGCACAAGGCAGUGUGGUAAUGGUAACAACUCGGCAUGAAGAUGUGCAUCAAUUUUGCACACUACCCCUUCCCAUCAUCUUAAUAAACUCUUUGAUGAAGACUGUUGGUCACUAUUUGCACAUGUUGCCUUUAAAAACAUAACUCCCGGUGCGCGUCAAAACUUGGAACCUAUUGGUAGGAAAAUAAUAAAGAAAUAUGACGGUUUGCCUGUGGCUGCAAAUACAUUGGCAGGUCUGUUGCGCCGUAAACAAGAUGAGAGGACUUGGAGGGAUAUGCUGAAUAGCGAAAUAUGGGAUUUACAAAUGGAACAGAGUAGAAUUCUUCCAGCUCUAUACUUGAGCUACCAUUUUCUCCCCACAAAAUUGAAGCAGUGUUUUUGCAUAUGGCUCCAUCUUUCCUAAGGAUUAUGAAUUUGAAAAGGAGAAGUUAAUUUUGUUAUGGGUGGCACAAGGCAUAGUGGGUGACUUGAAAGAAGGGGAGAUGUUAGAAGAUGCUGGUGAAAUAUGUUUUCAAAACCUUUAUCAAGGUCAUUCUUUCAACAAUCCAAUCACAAUAAGUCAUUGUUUGUGAUGCAUGAUUUGGCUCUAUUUGUAUCCGGAGAAUUUUGCUUCAGAUUGCAAGUGGGAAAGCAAAACAAUGUUUCAAAGAGGGCUCAACAUAUUUCAUAUGACCGUGAAGAACUCAAUGUUUCCAAGAAAUUUGAUCCCCUUCAUGAAAUUGAUAAAUUACGAACCUUCCUACCAUUAAGUUAGCGUGUUUAUGUUUCAACUUGCCGCCUAGCUGAUAACAUCCUACAUGAUUUAUUGCCAACAUUCAAAUGUUUGCGGGUUUUAUCCUUAUCUUACUAUAAUAUCACUUAUUUGCCUGAUUCAUUUGGAAAUUUGAAACAAUUGCGGUAUUUAAACCUUUCUAACACCAACAUACAAAAGUUACCUUACUCAAUAGGUAUGCUUUUGAAUUUGCAAUCACUCAUGUUGUUAAAUUUCUUGGGCUUACCGAAUUGCCAUCUGAAAUUGGAAAACUCAUCAAUUUGCAUUAUUUGGAUGUUUCUAAAACAAUAUUAAAAGGGUCACCAACGGGAAUCAAUAGUCUAAAAGAUCUUCGAAGAUUGACUACUUUUGUUGUUGGCAAGCAUAGUGGUGCAAGAAUUGCAGAGUUAUGGGAUCUCUCACACUUGCAAGGAGCCCUCUCCAUUUUGAACUUGCAAAAUGUGGUGAAUGAUAUGGAUGCUUUAGAGGCUAAUUUGAAGAAAAAGGAAAACCUUGAUGAUUUAGUGCUUGUGUGGGAUCCGAAUGCGAUUGAUGGUGAUUCAGAAAAUCAAACCAGAGUUCUUGAACAUCUUCAGCCUCAUACCAAGGUGAAAAGGCUCAUGAUUCAACACUACUAUGGCAUAGAAUUUCCAAAAUGGUUAGGAGAUCCUUCAUUCAUGAAUUUAGUUUUCUUACAACUUAAAGAUUGUAAAAGUUGCUCAUCGUUGCCACCACUUGGGCAGUUACAGUCUCUCAAGAAUCUGUGAAGAUGGAUGAAGCACUACAAAAGGUAGGGGCAGGGUUGUAUGGGAAUAAUGGUUGUAGUUCAUCUUCAAUUAAGCCAUUUGGAUCCCUAGUGGUUUUGAGGUUUGAAGAGAUGUUGGAGUGGGAGGAAUGGGUUUGUUGUGGAGUUGAGUUUCCUUGUCUGAAGAAGCUUUAUAUCAAGAAAUGUCCAAAGCUGAAAGGAGAUAUACCCAAGCACUUUUCUUAUUUAACAAAACUUGAGAUUAGUGAAUGUGGGCAGCUGGUGUGUUGUCUUCCAAUGGCUUCAUCCCUUUGUGAAUUGAAGUUAGAUAAAUGCGAGGAUAUGGUGGUUAGAAAUGCUGUUCACCUCACCUCACUUCCUUGGAGGUUAGUAAUGUUUGUGAAAUAUCAGUUGAAUUGCUGCAGAUGCAUUCUCUUGUAAAGUUGAAUGUGUAUGAUUGUCCAGAUAUAAAGGACUUGUCACCCAUUAUCCACAACCUCACCUCUCUUAAACACAUGGAGAUCAAGGAAUGUGAAAAUCUUUCAGCUCUUCGAGAUGGGGCUACCACCCAUGCUUGAAACCCUUGAGAUCCAAGGCUGUCCCAUUCUGGAGUCCCUACCAGAGGGAAUGAUGCAAAAUAAUACUACUCUCCAAAGCUUGUCUAUCAUGCAUUGUAAUUCUCUAAGGUCCCUCCCCAGUAUCAAUUCAUUGAAAACACUUUUAAUUGAAUGGUGUGAAAAAUUGGAGUUAUCUUUGGCUGAGGAUAUGACACACAACCACUACGCUUCCCUUACAACUUUAUAUAUAGGAAUUAGUUGUGAUUCUCUCACGUCCUUUCCAUUAGCCUUCUUCACAAAGCUUGAGACACUUGAUAUUUGGGGUUGUACAAACCUAGAGUCCCUUUACAUUCCAGAUGGAUUCCACCAUGUGGAUCUCACAUCUCUUCAGAGCUUGUAUAUCUAUUAUUGCGCUAAUCUGGUAUCUUUUCCACAAGGAGGAUUACCCACUCCCAACCUCAGAUCACUUCUAAUCAGCUCGUCCAAGAAGCUCAGGUCACUGCCCCAAGGGAUGCACACCCUCCUUACAUCCCUUCAACAUUUGCAUAUAUCUAAUUGUCCAGAAAUUGAUUCAUUUCCCGAAGGGGGUUUGCCCUCUAAUCUAUCUUCCCUUCACAUCUGGAAUUGCAACAAAACUUGUGGCCUGCCGGAUGGAGUGGGGCUUGCAAACGCUUCCCUUUCUUAGAAGCUUGUGGAUUGGAGGACAUAAAGAAGAAAGAUUGGAGUCAUUUCCUGAGGAGCAGUUUCUGCCCUCCACUCUCACCUCUCUUACAAUUGGGGCUUUUCCAAAUCUUAAAUCCUUGGACAAUAAGGGGCUUCAGUAUAUCACCUCUCUUGAAACUCUGUAUGUUUUGAAUCGUGAGAAGCUCAAGUCCUUCCCAAAACAUGGGCUGCCCUCCUCCCUUUCUCGUCUUAAUAUUAGUAAGCGUCUGCUGCUAAAGAAGAGGUGCCAAAGGGAUAAAGGGAAAGAACGGCCCAAGAUUUGUCACAUCCCCUGCAUAGUGAUUGAAGAAGAGUUCAUCUUGUCAUGAGGGCCUUGCAGCAUCCAGGCUCUUGCUUUCUCUGCAAUUAUUGAUUCAGGUACCUACAUUCUGCUUUUAUUUAUUUUUUGUACAAUCGAUGCUCACAAGUUUGCAUUUCAUUCUCAUUUAUCAAUCAAUUCCGUCUCACUCACUGUAUGGCUUACAUUUCUGCUUUAGAAUCGAAACCAAUUUUUUAAACUCUAAUAGCAAACAAAGCAAAUUGCUUGAAUAUCAAUUUAUAUUUUAAAUUAUGUUUUUAUUUUUAUAAAUAUUAAAAGUGUGUAGUAUUUUUGAAUUUGUUUCUUAUUAUAAAAAAAAAAAAAACAUUUUUAGCAGUUAUGUAACAAAAAAGAAAAAGUAUUUUUAAGUCUGUGCUAUGUAGUUGUCAUUAGACAUAGGUUCCUCUUCAUGUUAUGCAGCUUCAUCAAUGGCAUCACUCGAGACUUUGGAAGAGGUAAUAUUUUUUGUCCUUUGGAAUAAAAAUGUCUUUUACUACCAUGAAGAUUCUGUUUUACUGGAGUACCUAUUAGUAUGCAUGCUGCAGUGGCAUUGCAACACCUUUCAGAAGUUAACAUGAAAUUAGCCAGGUUAUAAACUUUGGAAAUUAGGCAGCUUCUACCCUUGAUACACAAAAGCACUUUUCAGCUGAAUCUGUUUUGGAAGAUGAAAUUUAAUUCCAUGGUGCAAUUUAGUGUUUCAUUCUUUGUUUUUGUUUUUGUUUUUCAUAUGGUUUUCAACAUGUGACUGCACUUUGUGGAUGCUUGUUUCUUGGUUAUUUUGAUAUUAGAAUGGAGGUUGGUGUUGGAAAAGCUGAUGUGGAACCACCAAGACAGAAAACUAUAUGGAUGGUAUGGGCAUUGGGUGGACUUCUCAUUUCUUCUGUGUCUUGCAUGGCACUCAAGUGUGCUUUCUUGUAUAGGAAGAACUUGGACAUGGUAGAGGACUUUUUAGGAGCAUAAAGGAAGUAAGAAGAAACCUUAAGAAUUAUAGCCAUGAAGGUUAAGAGACUUCUAUUACUCGAAUAACUUUGAGACAUAUCCUAGCAAUAAAAAUUAUACAAUAUUUUACAUGUCCAAACCACUUCUUUUGGGUUCUCUUGACCUUCAACAUUCAAGGGAAAAAACAAUCGAGACUUUAAUGCUUUAAAAGUUAAUGUUUUAGAAAUUUAUAUAAGCAUGUUGACAGAUGUACUUUUUGAUGCAGGUCAUUGAAUGGGUUGUUAACAAAACCCUUAGAAAUAGAAAUUACAAGUUGAUCUGAACUUUCAAAACUAGUUAUUUUUUCACUUCAAAAUUGAAUAUAAGACUUUGUUAAUGGACAAAUUGCAUUUCAAUAUUGCAGGCUCGAUCUAGUGUAGUGCAAACUUGUUGGCUAUAAGAAAAGCUUUCAGUAUCACUAUAGCUGUUCUAUUUUGCUGGGGUUGUCUCAGACCAUGUGCUGUAAGAGAACAAUAACUUUCUCGAAGCCCUUUCAGAAGCUUAUAAUAAAUCUGAAAAGUUCCCAUGGCACAGUUAGGUAAGGAAAUGGGAUUGCACCUGUGACCUAUUUCAUACUCACACUAGCUCCUGCUGAAAUAAUUUUUUUCCUUCUCUACAUUCUUAGAUAUUCAAAUCCUUGAUACCUACAUGGAUAAGUAAGUGGAGAUCUGGAGGUCUCAAAGGUGAGGCAAACACAGUGCAGAAUCACUAAUGUGGUGGGAGCAGAACAUGCAAUGCUACCCUUAAAUGUGAAGAGUAGGAAAUGGCCACAAAGUCCUCUCCUUGGUUACCAAGUUCAUAUAUCAAAUCAACUGGAUGAUCUCACCUCCACACUGGCAGACUUCUUGUUUCACCCAGAAGGUUUCUCUUACUAUUGGUAUCAGAACUGUGUACAUGUCCAGUUCUUUGGUCUCUGAACUGUGAGCAUACAAACAAUGUUUCCCAAUAUCUGUUGUGUUCAAAAGGCAUGCAAGUCCUACAAUUUUGCCGCUUACAAAGUCAGUUUCUUCUUCAUGAGGAAUGAGAUAUUUGAAAGUUGUACUGCUUUUACUUGUAUUCAAUGGAAUAUAUAACAUUUUUGCCCUUCCCCUGCAGAUAAUUGAGUUUGUU